GGGAUUUUCUUGCUGGAGAUACAGCUUGACCUCCAAGAAGGGCACAAGAUCGUGGGGGUUUUGGGUUAGAAGAGGGUGGCGUUGUUUUGAGUCGGAGUCAGAGUACUUGGCACGGUUCAAGAGAGCAAAGAGGAUGGCCUUUAGCCAGGUGGUGCCGGAUUUCGGGUUGGUGACGAGGAGGAUGUCAGAGGGUUGAGCUUGGAAGUGGUUUUGGCAAGCGAGGACACCGUUGAAGAGCCAAGUGGGGAACCAGAAGCCCUGGUACAAGCAGAAAGAGGUUGCGACCCAGCCUUCUUCAGAAGGGAGAGAGGACACCAAGUCUUUGCAUGCUUGUGACAAGUGAUCGUCUCGCCUGUAUAUUGGAUCGGAAGGACGAGCAGGUUGAGAGACUUGCAUGGUGGUGAUGGUGGUGGUGUUGGUAGUGGUGUGGCGGAGGAGGAGAUGGUGGGGGUGGAGAGUCGGAGUGAAGGAUUAUUCUUGCUAGCUAGCUAUGGAGCUAGUUUAGGAAAGGGUUAGUGAUGUUUGUUGGCCCAAUAUAGAGGCUUUUUAAAGGGAAAGAUCGUUGCUGGGAUAAGGACUGAAAAAAAGGCAAAAAAAAAAAAAAGAAUACUUUCAUGAAGAUGGUAUUGGGCUUAUCUAAUUGUUUACAUAUUAAAUGUUAUCUACAUCUUUCUAUAAACAACUUUGCAUUCAAACUUUUGACACUCCUGGCACUAUUAAUGCUUUCAUAUAACCAACGUGGUAGGUAAGAAUUAAAUAGUGCCAAGAUUUAAUUGAUUUUUAUAAAGUUAUGUUUCAAAACAUUUAUCGGAUGCUGGAAUGUAUUCCGCCCCCUUUAUUUAAAUUUUAUUUAGAUUUACUAUUUCAUCUUGUAGAUCCAUUUUGGAGAUCAAUAUUUGUGUUCUCGAUAUUAACUAAUCCAAACUAACAAUAAUACGAGAUGCAUUUUGUACAUGCACCUAAAUGAAAUUCAUUUAGGGGGCUUAUUAUUUCCUCUAUCUCUAGUUGGAAAAUCCAAUCGAAAUUUGACAUCGCACAAACACAUUUUUAGUUAAUUUUGCUUGUGGGUUAUGUCCAUAUUGUUAAUCCCCAAAUUAGAGGUCUUGCUGAGGCAAGGAUGGAAAUAAAAUGUCUUUUUAGUUAGGUUUGCAAUAUCAAGUCGAUAAAUCAUUUGGCGUGCAUCUAAUACAUGUAAAGUGAAGACACCGUCAAAGGACAAGCAUUAGGACCAGAUGUUUUAUUUUUUACUAGUUUAUGCCUAUUAGAAUAAAGAUAUUCAUAUAUAUGCACAUUAUCUACUUUUUUGGCUAUUCAAAUAAAAUUUUACGCGGUACUCUAAUUACCAUAUCAGAACGAGGCAUUACCGUCACCUGACUUAUUGCAUGCAUCAGGCCUAUAAAACCGAACGUGUAUAUGUAAAUUUUAUCUGAUUCGUCUAAUAAAAUUUCCUCGCUUCGAGAACAAGAUGGGAGAAGACCACUGAGUCAUCAAGACUGGUUGGCUUGAAAUGCCGAUAAACCUGAGCGUCAAAUCCUAACCUCCAAGCUAGAUGACAUGUAAUGUACUCUCUCUGUCCUACACUUUCUUCAUAAUUUUCAUUGAUCAAUUAAAUCUGUAUAUCGAGUCAAUAUGUAUAGUAUGAAAUAUAUAUUAUCGACUGACAAGGACUAAAAAAGCUCAAGUGGGUACGCACUCUUCCUCACCGACAAACGUAAUAAAAUAUCUUUUAGUCAUAUUAAUAAAGUGAAUGUCAUUUGGCGAGUCAUACCGGGUAGCUAGAAGCAAAUAUGCAUCUGGAUCGCAUGAUUGAACCGUAGCACACCUUAUGAUCGAAACAGAACCGAGUAUGGGCUUGGCCUACCCACGAAACGGUACGUCUAUUGGAGAGGGUCGUCCUUAGGAUAACAUCUCUAAAAGUCUGGACUGAUCCACUGGGUCUAGUUGGUGAAGUCUGAGAGCAAGACACAAAUUUAUAAAUAUCUGUUGGUUGGCUCUUUGUGGUCUUAGUCUUUGGUCCAUUAUGAGAAUAGUAAUCAGUUUUGAGCCACAAAUUCUUGAAGAAAUGAACUCCACAACAAUUUAUAAUUAUUUGUUAAUUAGUUUUUUGUGAUCCCAAACAAAGUGUUAUUUUUACAAUAGAUUAAAGACUGUCACCUAAUCAUUUUUUUCUUCUUUUUUCACAUUAUCUGUAAAACCACCAAGUGAAAAAAAAUCCAAUAUAACCAAAGUAGAAUCCAUUUGCAGAUGAGUUUCUUUUCUGCAUGAACCGUAUCUUUGGACAAAAUUCGUAAUAUGUGCCUAGUAAGAACUAAUUGUGAAAUUAGUAAAUUUUGCGGGAAUUUCUGUUUUUUACGAUCAAGACAUGAGAGAUCUGGAUCUUGGUUGUGUGCAUAACAAGACUACUUAUCAAGAAAAGAAAACUUUCUACUAGUUCUCUACUUCAAUAAGGUACAAAUGCAAAAAAGGUUUUGCUAGUAUAACAAUUUUUGGGCUAUUGUAAUAAUAUACUGUGAAUCACAAAUUUUUGAAUAAGUGGACCCCACAAUGAUUUCUAAUUAUUUGUUAUUUAUAUUUUUACAAUUCAAAAUAAAUUGUUAUUCUUGCAAUAGAUUAAUGAUAGUCCUAUAAGCAUUUCUCAUGCGAAAUUGUGCAUGCAACACUUUGGAAGGUAUCAUCACGAAUACUUGGUGUUUUUUUAUUGACCGAUUAGUAGAACUCUACUACGCAAAAACUUCCAGACUAAUUCUAAACAAAGAAUCAAGAUUUCAUGGUAUAACUGUGUAAAGUUUACUUUUCUUUUACGACGCUUUCACAUUUAACUAAGAACGAAUAUCGCAAAGCAUAAAAGUAUUGUAUUUUACGAUAUUUUGUGACAAAAAUUCAUAAUAUUGUACUACAAAUAUAUUUCACCUUAGAAAAACCCUAGUAGAUUGCAUGGCCAGGAGAUGAAUUCAUUUUUUGUGUCCGAAAUCUUGGAAUUCAUGAAUUGAUGAGCAAAGGUUGGUCUGUUCUUCGGCGUGUUCUCAAUCUUCCAAAGGAAGAUGGCGGACUUUUAACAGGAAUGGGCAGGAAAUAGAAAAGAGGAAAUAAUAAUAGAACGGGGCUCAGCUUGGAUUCUAGUCAAAUUCGAUUUUGGGCUUAAGCAGACUUAGAAUUUGUGACGUCAGCUGAGCUUCGUAUAGCGUAGGCGGGUCUGUGAAGAAUUAGAUUUUGCGACGUGAGCUUAGCCCAUUAGAAAUUGUUGUUCGGACUUGUAAAGUCCGAGUUUAAUCCUGUACAUUGCUUGGGCCCGAAAGCUCGGUCUACAUUUUUAUAAGUCCAUAUCAAGAUAAGGAUAUUAUAAGUGUCAUGACUUUUGUAUAGCACUAAUUUAAUCUAUGAGAUAAAAAAUUAAACAAAACCUUAUCAUAUAUUGAGGAAGAAAAUUUAAAUGUUUCAAUUAUUACAAUUUAUGGAUGAGGAAAUUAUCAUUUACAUUUGAGGAUUUCAUUUUCGUUUUAUCUAUUUACAUUUUUUACCAUAAUGUAAUUGCAAUUCAUGCUAAAUAAAGUGACACGGCCCCGCUCUUGAUGGAAUUUGUAGAGAAAAGAGCUUGAAUUUACAAUUAAAGACUUGAUCAUUUGUUACGCAGUAAACAGUGGAGAUUCAUAUUUUUUUUGGGAGGAGGGGACAAUUAGCUUAUAGUUGAAACCCAAACAAAGGCGAUAAAAUUUGCGAUCUUAUAAGUACAACACGACAUGAGAAUACGAUUGGUGAUGACUCUGUCAUAUCAUAGUAACUUCCAUAACAAGAGAUGCUCAACUGGAAAAUACAAUAGGUUCCCUGAGUCGUGAAUGAUGACAAAAAAUCAUAUGUCGCCUUUGGCAAGGUCAACGUCCAAACCCAUAAGCUUUCUCCUUUUAGAUUUGUUUCUUUUUGCAUGGUUGCAAAGUGAUACGUAAAUAAGGCAUAAUUAUAUUAGUUGGCUGGUGACUGUCGGCUAAAUAGUCGGAUCAAAUGGAUUACUUCAAAGCUUUCUAGCGGUGGCCAAAGAACAUUUCCAAAUGUUGAGUCAGAAUAACAACCAUGAUUGGCAAAUAAUGACACUAAAGAUCUUUCGCGCAACAUCAUAAGAAUGACUCUCUCAGCAGCCAACUGGGCAUUGACCUUCUCAGCAUGCUUACAUCAAUCAAUUCGUUUAUCAUCAGUCGCACAGGCACUCGCACACCUGAGGCCUCAACCUAGAGCCAUGCAGCUUCUCUUCAUGAACAUCAUGCACAGCCAUUUGUGAUGCCUUUAACCAAGAAAAUUAUCAAAAAAGUGUUAAACUUAUUAUAUGGAUGUCAAAUUCAGUCAUAAUCUUUUUAAUUUGAGUGAUUUAGUCCUAAACCUUUUAACAAUUUGUCAAUUUUGGCUGGCAAUAAUUAACAUUAACAAUUUUUUAACAUCUUUCAAAUUAUCUAAAUAUUGUCUUUUCUCUUUUUGUUUCUUGCUCGGCGACCGGUGGAGGGAAAUAGGAAAAAGAGGAAAAGGAAAGAAAAGCAAAGGGAAAAAAAGAAAAAAACUUCAGAUAACUUGAAAAAUGAUCAAAAUCGUUUACGUCAUGGAUCUCCAAUCAAAAUUUGGUUAAAAAGACUAUAUUAACAAAUCAUAAAAAAUUUUAAGACUAAAUUAAUUAAAUUGAAAAAUUUAGAACUAAAUUAAUAUCUGUCAAAUAAGUUUACGACUUUUUUUAUUUAUAACUAUCCCGUUAUUAAUCACCAACUAAAGUUUCUCCAAUUAGGGAUGGAAAAAUUAUAAAAUUACGAUAAAUUUAUUUUAGAUGUGCUAUUUUACCUUUUAGCGACUUUUACCCCAGCAAUCCCAGAAGACGAAAGUCUGUCUUUCCUUAAUCCACGCCAAUAUGAUGUCACACAUACGAAGUUUUGACACGUGCCGAAUUAUCAUGUUCUUAUGCACACCAGAAAAUCACUUCCACGACCCCUCUUUACCUAGUGCAGUGCCAGACCCGGCCCCAUGAUCGUGGCCUUGCCUUCUCAUUUCUAAUCAUCACCAUCGACGGCAACCUCCACCAUGCCAUCUUCGCCCCCAGUAGAGCUGGUCAGUGGGCGGGAUGGUACUGUGCUGGAUAGGUCUCACUCAUUGUCCAAGCUCGCCUUUUAAGAGAAAUAUGUAUAACUUUUCCGAGUUGAGUGAGUGGCCCUGGAUCAAGACCCAACGGAGACAAGUUAAACUUUAUAAUUUGAUGUCUUUGCCUCUGUCCACAGAAGUUUGUCUUUUGAGUACUUUUUGUGGACGCGGGUUAGUGGGCUGCUAGACACAUGAUUAGGUUUAGCCACUGGUCCAGGGGCACUCAACUCGAAAAAGGCAUAUACAUACUUCUUUGGCCCGCUCACAUAAGUUUGUCUUCGAGCACUUUUCAUGCGUGUAGGCCAGUAAACUGUUAGACUCGUGAUUAGAUUUAGGAUGCGAAUAAUAACUAUUUUGAUCAAAAAUUGAUUUCUGGAAGAGAAAUAUAUUUUUAUAUUUCUAUUUUUAGAUAAGUUUCUAAGCAAAAGUAACUGUUUGAUAAUGAUAUAAAAUUUUUACUCCAAAAAUAAAAAAUUUGUUUAAUAACGAUAACAAAUUUCUUCCUUUCGGAUGGAGGCGGACUGGCGGACGGCGGUGGACCAACGACCGGUGGCGACAGUGGUGGCGGCCAGCAAUCGGCAGACGGUGGUCGGCGAUGAUGAAUGGAGGACACGAUAAAAAGAAUUUUUAUUUCUCAUUUCUAUUUCAGAAAUAGAGAAGUAUAAAAUUUUUACUUCUGAUUUCUAUUACAAACCUAUUUUUGGAACAAAAAUUUAUUUCAGAAAUAGAAAAUGAAAUAAUUUUACCAAACGGAUUUCUAUUCUAGAAACAAGUCUGGAAUAGAAAAAUUGUUGAACAAAAAUUACUGAUUGUCAUGCACCCUCUUAGUAACCAGUCUCAACCACAAUGCGCCCCCUCUACCCAAGGAGGCGCCUUCCUCCUUUAUAUCGGUGAGAUCUUGACUCGAUCUCAAUGGUGAUUGGUAAUGAUGAUGAAAUCAGAAUUUGUACGGUAAUUCUUAAUCGACAAUAUGUUAGUGAAUAUACUUUGGCUUACCUUUCUAUUAAAGUAAUGCAGGAUUUAUCCAUAUUUAAAUUAUAUUUUUAAUAAACGGAAAUUUUAACCUAAACAACUAAAACUGCUCUACAAGGUGUAUAUAUAAUGGUAUAAAACCCGAAAUUUUCACAAGAAAAUAUAAUACGAAGAAAGAGAUGAUGAAUACGCAUAAGCUAAUAUUUAAGAGAAUAUAAUGUUAAAUGAAUGUUCUCCCAAAGCUUAUGACAAAGGAAAUUUGAGUGUUUUUUUUUUUUCCUUUGUAAAUAUUCCGUCAAAAACUCUAAAGAAAUUCUACUCGAAAUAAUUGUUCUAGUUGUUACUAUUUUAGUCCAUUCUAAACUAGAAGAAAGAGCGCUCAUUCUAUCUGUGCUAUAGAUGAAUUACACAAAACCUUAGCAUAUAUAGAGGAAGAAAAUAUAAAGGUUUCGAUUUUUACAAUUUAUGGAUGAGGAAACCGUUGUUUAGAGUUGAGGUUUUUAUUUUCAUCUUAUCUAUUUACAUUUUUUUGCCCGUUAGAUACGCUAUUUUAAUUGUAAUUCAUGCUAACUAAAGUGAUACGGCCUCGCUUUUGAUGGAAUAUUUUGGGAAAAGAGUUUGAAAUUAAAAUUAAAGAUGUGAUAACUCGUUAUGUUGUUGAUUCAAAUUUUGUUUGGGAGGAGGGGACACUUCGCUUAUAAUUGAAAUUUGAAAUCCAUACGAAGUUGAUAAUUUCGUAACAAGAGAUACUCAAUAAACUUUAUACUCCUCCCGAAUAUACUAUAGUUUCCUUUCCGUAAGUGGUGAAUCACGAUGAAUGUCGAAUCUAGAAUGGAUCGCGUAUCGCAAUUAUGUUGGUCGGCUGAUGGCUGUCGGUUAAAUAGUUUGGAUCAAUUGGACUCCUUUAAGCUUUCCAGCCAACUAAACGUGGGGGCCAAAGAACAUUUCCAAAUGCGGAGUAUGCCAUAAAGAGAAAAAUAAUCACAACCUUGAAGCUUCUCAAUAAUGGUGAGGAAGUCACGAUCGGCGAACGACACCAACAUCUUUCACGUAAUAUCAUGAGGACGAAUCUUUCAGCAGCGAACUGGUCAUUGACCUUCCCUGCAUGCUUAUAUCAAUCAAUGUCUUUAUUAUCAAACACACGCACACGCGCACCGACCCAAAAAAAAAAAAAACACGCACACGCGCACCCACACCUAAAGCUUCAACCCAGAGCCAUGCAGCUUCUCCUCCCCAACGCGGUCAAUCUUCUCGGCUAUGUCUACGCUCAAGUAAUUUACCCAAUCUCCAACCUCGCCUCUCCUAAAGAACGCCUUGUUCUCUUCCCCUGACGCCAACUUGCCUCUCUUGUUCACCUCCAGCCCGCUCAAAUUGUCAAAACUACAGAGCCUCAGUAUUUCGUCCACCAUCCCUUCUCUCAGCUCUUCUUGACUGAACGGACACUCCAGAAAACCGGCCAGCCUCCUCAGGUUAGCGUACGGGUCCUCCUUCAUGUCCUCGUACUUCAGGAACAACACCUUCUCGGGUGUCUCCGAGCUCGCCUUGUGGUACCCCAGCACGUGGUCCCAGUAAGGCCCGAACAAGCUCACGCCUCGGCAGAACCUGUCGAGCGACUCCUGCAGCGAGUUCUCACCCCUUUCCUUGGGCCUCAGCUUGUUGGUGAAGUGCCAGAGCGAGACGCAGGUGUCUUUGGGGUUCCUGCAUAAGUACACCAGCUUGCACUUGGAGUCCCUCACCGGCUGAGGGAGCGAUUGAUAAGGCAAGUGCGUAGCAAAUAGCCUCGGGGGCGGGAGUGAGGCAAGGUCCGGAGUGUCCUGCUCGACGUAGAGCUUUAAUUCCAGAAACGGCACCAGGUCGUGAGGGUUAUGGUUCAACAGAGGGUGUUGUCCUUGCGAGCCCGAGCCCGAGUACUUGGUCCGGUUGAGGAGGGCGAAGAGGAUGGCCUUGAGCCAGGUAGUGCCGGACUUCGGGGUGGUGACGAGGAGGAUGUCGGUGUCUUGGGCUCGGAAGUGUCUCUGGCAAGCCAGGACACCCUUCAAGUGCCUUGGGCCGACCCAGAAGCCUUGGUAUAGGUGGAGGGUGGUGCCAACCCAGCCUUGUUCGGACGGGAGAGAGGGAAGGAGAUCUCUGCAUUCUUGAGAGACGUCAUCAUCUUGCAAGUACUUUGGGAGGGAUGGAGAUUGAGCCAUUGUUAUGUGGUGGAUUAGGUUUUCAAGCUUGCUCUUGAUCUCAGGAAAAGAAGAAGGGUUGGUUUGAGACUUUUGUUGUGGUAGUAUCUCUAUAUAGAAUAUCUUAAAGAGAUAAAUGACACAAAUAGUCAUUGAACUUAGACAUAAUGUGCAAUGUAAUUCAUGAACUUCUAAUUUAUUCAAUAUGAUUCAUGAAUUUUUUUAUUCAUUAAAUAUAAUUUUUAGACUUUUGGUACACAUUCAAUUUAUUUCCCGAACUAUAUGGAAAUGUUCAAUAUUAUCUUUCAUUUGAUUCAAGUUCAAGAACAAUAUUGAAUAUUUCCAUAAAGUGUAGGGAUUGAAUUAAACAUGUAUUAAAAGUUUAUAGACCCACAUUAAACAAAUUAAAAUUUCAUGAAUCACAUUGCAUAUUGGGAUAAAGUUUAGGGCCGCAUUGAUAUAUUAAACAUUUAGAGACCACAUUAUAUAUUAAGCCAAAGUUCAGAUUUCAUUUAUGUCAUUUUCUCCAUAUGAAAAAGAAGGGGAUUCGAUGAGCUGCCCACUUUUCGUGCCCUUUAGAGUGCAUUGCAUAAAGAUGGCCCAAAGAAGAGAGAAAAAAUUCAUUUUUGUACCUCUAUAUAUAUUGCUUUUGUGUUUUUUUAGAUAGAGGUAUGAAAAAUAGUCAAGAGUCUCUUUCCUUCUUUUUACGAACUUGCCACUUUAUAGUCAUGACCUAAGUAGCACGGACACACGACACGACACGUUGACACAUCAUUUUUUAAAAAUAGAAAAUUUUGACACGUUGGGACACGUUGUAUAUUAAAUAAAUAUUUUUAAUUUUAAUUAAUUUAAUCCUAAUUUAAUUAAAAAAGAACUUACAAUAAAUUUACACUAAUCAUUCAACAUUUAGUACUUUUAUUUUUCAAAAUAAUUUUUUAUUUCAUUUAAUUAUUUUCUCGAUUAAAUAAAAAGUCCAAAGUCCCCCAGGGUCCCCACCCCACCCCAGCUCCCUUUUUUCCCUCGUCUUUUUCCCCGCCCCAAAAUUUUUCACUUUUCUUUCCCUCCCCCCACCACCUGUCACAUCCCCCUUUUUUCCCAUGUCUCUUUUCUCCCCACCCCCAAAUUUUUUUCACUUUUCUUUCCCUGCCCUGCCACCUGACACUUCCCCCCUUUUUUUUCCCCCGUCUCCUUUCCCCCCGCCCCCCCAAAUUUUUUUUCACUUUUUUUUCCCGCCACCUGACACUUCCCCCUCCCUCCAACAUACCAAAUCCCUUUUUUAUUCUUUUAGUUUCCUUCUCAAAAUCCUAGCAGUGCCCUUCUUCUCCUCCUCCUCCUCCUCGCCUCAGUCCUCAUCGCAAUCGUUCAUCGCCUUGCCUCCAAUCCUUCCUCCCUCGUAGCUGCAGCCUCGUCACCAAUUCAUCACACCAUCACAGAGUGAUGGCCCUCGCCUUAGUCUCUGCUCUUUCUCUCGCUAUUGCUCGCUCCCUCGUCUCUGCUCCCUCGCCCUCGCCUCCACCCUCCAUUGUCUUUGGAACACGCGUGUUGAAAUGUGUCGACAAAAAUUGACCAUGUGUCAACAAAUCCGACACGCGAUCAAUGUGAGUUGGAGCGUGUCCGAGCGUGUUGACAUGUCCAACACGCUCUGACACGCGUCAGACACAACACAGAAGCAUGUAUAAUGUGUCUGUGCUUCAUAGGUCAUGACUGCCAUGUGAUCAAGGCAGGCCUCACCAAUAAAAAAUCUGGUAACAAUCGAGAGGCUGUAAACCAGCACGAGCAAUUGAUGGGCCAAGGCCUCUCGAUUGCAGAGGUGGCACACCAAUUCCGGAAAGUCUAACAACCUUGUAAGUUGUAGUUGUAGAAUCUAGUUGGCAGGACGUAACCCGAUAUUGAGAGUUCCAACCUACAAGCUUAAACAAUUAGCUGUAGGAAUCUAGCUUAUUCAGUUUAAAUUAAUAUCAGUAGACGUCGAUAAAUAAUUAGCUAUAGGAACAUGGCUUAUUCUAUUGAAAUCAGACUAAGAUAAACGUUGAUGAUUGAAUUAAACCUUACUUUCGUCCAACCAAGACAAUCGAACUCUCUUUUAAGGGCACCUUGAUAUGAACUUUUUUCCAAUUGAUAAUUAUAUAUUGACGAGCUUAUUUUAAGAAGUUGUUUGAGUGGUUAAAUGCUUGAUUUGAACUUAUGUAAAUUCCAAGUCAAAGUCACGUCUCUCACUAAAAUUAAUCCUCAACAACCACUUGGACUACUUUGUUGAGGUAGGGCCUUAUAUGAGCAAUCUGAUUGGAUGGACUGAAUUCUAUGCAUUAUUGGGAUCGGAUGAGCUAGGUUCACAUAUCCUUGUUUUAUAAAAUAAAAGGAUAUUGACAAUCUCGAGAUGAAGUAUGUCCAUAAGCACUUAUCAUUGACUUGUUCUAGUUAAAAUGCAUAUAUGUGAUUUGUAAUAGGUGCUCAAAAUAAAAAACUAAUAAAUGAUAUUGUUGACACAAAAAAAUAACAAACUUCUGAUAAUUUAUUUAUUUAUUUGGUAUACAACUUUUGGUAAUUUAUUGACGGGUGAUAAAAUAAAUCAAUGAUAGCAAAUUUUGGUCAAAAUAAAAAUCAAUGAAGGACAUCGAUAAAUUCAGUAGUGAAGUCAUUGACAGUAGACAUCAUAAGUUAUCAGCAAAAGCCUUCACUGAUUGACAAGAUUAUUGACUCCUUUAUGUUACUGUGAAGGUAGUGGAGUCGAUGUAACCGUCAAGAUAGUGGGGUUUGGCCGUCAAGUAAUGGAGUCGAUAAUUUCAGAUGCAACCUUCAAGGAAAUUGAUAUAGGAGCUUUAUAUUCCAUCAAUCAGGUUGUAAAUUCAACACAAACCUUGUCAAUUAAUCUAGCUCAAUCCUUGCGUUUGGAAGUAAGUUAUCAGCAAGAGCCUUCACCGGUUGACAAGAUUGUUGACUCCUGUGUGUUACUGUGAAGGUAGUGGAGUCGAUGUAACCGUCAAGAUAGUGGGGUCAAUAAUUUCAGAUGCAACCUUCAAGGAAAUUGAUAUAGGAGCUUUAGAUUCCAUUGAUCAAGUUGUAAAAUUCAACAAAAACCUUGUCAAUUAAUCCAGCUCAAUCCUUGCAUUUGGAAGUAAAAUAUCGAUUUCAAUUUAAUUUGAUUGGAUGGGUUCAAGUUGACGAUGUUGAUUUUGCAAAGAAAUUGUUGAUUUAGUGGAUGAGUUAUCAAUUUCAUGGUUGCCGAUCCACUACUUAGUGGUCAAUUUACAAGACUUGUUGUCAAUUUCGAGACUCUCAAUUGACUACCUAAUGAAUGGAGGCUAUUCUAUGGAUUCCUAUUGCCGUUUGAUGACUUUCGACGGUGACUGUUCGGCUUCCAAGACUGAACGAAUUUAGAGGGUCUUAUCAUAUUUCAAUGCAUACUAUGCUAGCUAAAUGCAUUUAGUCCUAAUUAUAGUCUUUAAAUUCACAGCUUUGAGAAAGCAAAGGGAUAUUCGGUCUCGAUCUCCUCAAAAUUGGUUUCCCUUAGGCUCCUCGGGUCUUUCUUCUCUCUCCGGAUCAUGAGAGUUCAAACCAGAGAAGGACCCCUAGCAAAAUGCUCGACGUUGCUUCUCCCUCCUCUUCUUCUUCUUGAACAUCCUCAUUGACCAUCAAUCUUCGCCAAUCCUACUAGGAAUCCAAGAAGCCACAAGCCAGGCCGAAUAAGAUCCGACUCGCCCGCGGAAUCCCUUGCCUGACCCCGAUCCUAAGCACGAAGCCCCUCCCCCACCCACACACACAACUCCUCCGAUUACGUGCCCUAGCCCAAGCUCAAUCCCAACUACGUCGCCUCUCCUCCUCCAUCCCUGGCAAGGCCCCUGAGCUCUGAUCUCCAACAGCGCCUCCUCCUUCAUGCCCGCGGAGUUGAAUCCCUACAUCGCUCCUGCUCUUGCUCUCCAAUAAUCUGUUAAGAGUAAGUGUACCAAUUCGGCGAUGUGUUGCCUUCUAUGGGUUCUUCGGAUUCGAUAUUGAGGAGACCGUGGAUUGCUUUUUGGUUCUUUUGUUUGUUUACUGAUUUGUGAAUCUCAUGAAUAUGUGCCUAUACGAUGGAUUCGAUGAUGGACGUGGUUGGGAGAUAGGGAAAGAGUAAUUUCUAUCAAUGGGGAGUAUGAAUCACAUCUCAACAUAAAAGUAUCAUGCUCUCACUUGAUAUCACAAAUAAAUCAAAUGUUCAGUAUUGUUUUAAAAUUUUUGACAUGCUUGCUGAAAACUAAAAGGGGAGUCAUCAUUUGAGUGUGUAGUGCUGUGACAUGGUAUUAACACCCCAUGGAAAUUAGGAUAAGUACACUAUUAGUGUCAUAAGUUGUGUACGGCACUUACUUUGGUGUCAAAAGUUUAUGUCGGAUCACUUAAGUGCCAAAAAGUUUGAAAAACGAUCAUUUUAGUGCAAACUCCGAUAUGGUUGGCCAGAAAUCCGAUGUGACACUUUUUUUAUUAAUUUUUGAAGCUGAUGUGGCUCGCCGGAGAGUACAGUUAGCGUCCUAACACCAAAAUGAUGCCGUUUGGUGUCUCCCCUAAUUCAAAACUCUAAAUCUUUGGCCAGUAGCCAUCCUCGACGGCCCCUGUGCUCGGGAGCUGCGGCUCUGACCCCGACCCCGACCCUGACCCCGAAGAUGGCCACUUGGUGGCCACGGCUCCGACCCCAACCCCAAUCCUGACCCCGACGAUGGCCACUUGGCGGCCGUGGCUCCGACCCCAACCCCGACCCUGACCCCAACAAUGGCCACUCGGCGGUUGCGGCUUCGACCUCGACCCUAACCCCGACGAUGGCCACUCGGCGGCCACGGCUUUGACCCUGACCUCGACCCCAACCCCAACCCCAACCCCAACCCCGACAAUGGCCACUUGGCGGCCGCGGCUCCGACCCUAACCCUGACCCCGACCCCGACCCCAACCCCGAUGACGGCCACUCAGCAGCCAAGUUGAAGGCCGUGAUCUGGCUGGUGCUCGGGGAGGCCGCCGACAAGUGCGCCGCCAUUGAUGUCUCCCUCUCCAUCUCCGAUCUCCCUGAUGAGUGCUUGGCUUGUGUCUUCCAGUACCUAGGCUUCAGUGAUCGGGGCUGGUGCUCCCUCGUGUGCCAUUGAGGGCGUUUGAACAGCGCCGAGCAACGGCGGCUGAGUGAGUGACGACGGCCGAGCGACGGUGAAGGCCGAGUGAGCUAGGUUCGAAAAACCCUAAUUUCAAUCCCCAAAUUAAAAAAAAAAAUCCUCAAAUGAGUUAAACGGUGUCGUUUUUGUAAGGCCAUCCACAUAGGACGGCAAAACGACGUCGUUUUAAAGCAAUCGGAACUUUUUUAACAAAAAAAUAUAAAAGCCACGUAAUUAACCUGGCUGGAAUCUCUUACUAGUGGCACCAAAUUAAUCAUUUUUUCUUCGAUUUGGCAUUUAAGUGAUCCGAUGAAAACUUUUGGCACCAAAGUGAGUGCCAUACACAACUUAUGGCACUGAUAGUAUACUUAUCCCGAAUAUUGGCUACCAAACGAAUCUACAAGAAUCUAGACUAAUGUUGCAGUUGUUGUCACUUUGUAGAGUAAUGUUAUAAGAAAUUUAAAUGAAUUCUUGUCCUUUUUUUUAUUUUAUUUAUCAUCUUCAAGAAAGGAUGUCGGUAUUGAAGUACCUUACGAUCAUAACUCAGAAUAAUCUAAACUAAUCUUAUUGGGUCAGCAACUCUAUUAGACACUGGUCGAUCAUCUUUUUCAACUAACGUUGCCAUCUCAUUGAGGAACGUUUAAAAAUGCUGAAGUUUGGAGGCAUUACUCUCUCUAGGGCAUUAAUGAUCGAGUAUUUUCAGUCGUGACGUGGCAGGGAGAGGCAUAUUGCAUGAGAAGAUUCAUUGCUGGGUCCAUUAUUGCUCUCGAAUAAUGUUAGCAAUCCGUGCACGCUUUAUUCAACUCCUUUCUCUUCUGACAUGUACAGGCUUUAACUUGAAAGUUGCGACCAAUCCGCGUAUGUUUACGUUAGUUGGACUGCGCGAACUUGUAGGUUCGUGCUUAUUAUGGCAAAAAUAAUUAGUGGGAUGUUUCAGGGCAUGAGAGGGAGGACAUGAGGAGCUACAGUGUGCAUGAACUCUUGCUAGGUUUGGCGGACGGUGAUUUAGGCGCGCAUGGCAAAAUUUCUAUUUUAGAAAUUGAUUUCUGAUCAAAAAUUGAUUUUUCAAUUUCUAUUCCCUAGACAAGUUUCCGAGCAAAGAAUUCUGUUUGAUAACAACUCAAAAAUUUUAUUUCUAGAACAGAAAUCCAUUUGAUAACAGAAUAAAAUUUCUAUUUUUAGAAAUAGAAAUUGAUUAGAUAACAACAUAGGAAAUUCUAAAAUACAAAAUAAUAGUCCAAUAAUACUAAUACAUUACAACAAGGUGUUUCAACAGUGCAUAUCUAUUUCUAAAACUAAAAAGAAUUAACUUCUUUAACAUUGGCAUCAUGCGCAAGAAACGUUGUAUAGCAUAAAACAUUUUGCAAAUUUUUUUUUUCUAGACUUUUCAAAAAUAAAAGAACCUAAUAAGUCGGCUUGCAUGCGAAAUUAGUGAAAAUUGAGAUGGAAGGCAAGACAAAUCUUGCUUGCUCUUUGCUUCAAAGACAAGUCAAUCGAAUCAUAUGAACUUUAUAGAAAACUAAUAAAUAUUCCACAUGCGAUUGCUUUGGCAUGAAGCUGAGACAAUGAUAUGUCAUUUUGAAAGGUUACUUCUCCAUGGACUUCGGACGGUUUGGUCAUACGAGACCAGAUCGUCACUUCAGGAUUUUAGCGAGUUCCAAUCAAAACAAGGCAUAGCCGCGCCGAGGGGUGCUUCAAGCGGUAUAACAAAAAAAAAAAAAGUUGCGAGUCGAGUCUUCUGAAAAACCAUCUCUACAAUGACAAACAAGCAUGAGAGGCCUCUUGCAUUUUCGUCUACUAUUGGAAAAGCUCCCCUCGAUGACAUAUUAAAGAUGUACGCAGAAAAUGCGAGAAUCUCGCUCGUUUUCUGGGGCGUACAAGAAGCGACUCUCGAUCCAAUAAAUAAUAAACGUAUAAAUCUACUACCAAAACGGCCCCAUUCAACUAUAAGGUAUAUACAAUUGAGAUUUCAUCUCUGAUGCAUCUCAUCGGUAUGUUGAGUUCCCUUUCUUUCUGGCAAAGUCCUCGAAUGUAAACAUACCUUGGGAUCUAACUCGUAAUCAUCUUCAUCGUGACAAAAAUUGGCUUCGUCCUUGCAAUAAGCUUUGCUGAUAAUCUCAAGCUCCACAUUCAGGUAUCUGGAGUACUCGUUGAUACCCUGAUACAGACUCUGAUAACCCUUGAAUGCAAGGAUCUUUUCAGGCACAUCAUCGGUGACACUAUCAAUGCCUUGCCGUGCAGAAAUGACCCUGUCCAGGGUCUGAUCAAGCACCGUGAUUCCAAUGGUCUCCAUGUCUGCAACAAUGGCUACUGCAGCAUCCAAUUCUCCAAGGUUAAGACACAGUGAGAUGAUUUCGUCAUAUAGAGCACUGCAAAAGAAGAGGGAAAUCAUUUUUUGUAAGGUGGAUAUUACAGCCUCUUUUGCUCCUUCAAGUAUCUAAGCAUCCAUUAUAGUUCCCCAUACUUGGCAGGAUUUCGUCAUGCUAGUCUGACAGCAGAAAAGCACAUUUCGAAUUAUUUCCUACUUAAGAAGCACAUAACGUGUUAGUAUUUAACAUGUUCACGUAUUUUCCUUUGACCAUAUGUAUCGAGGUACUUUCUGCUCCCCUCAAUAACAUAGAGAUGGUAAAUGUGUAAAGAAAAAUCACCUACUCUUUUCAUGCUAGUUACUCUUGACCCUAAAAUCACACGAAUUUGAAGAGAGUAUCCCACAUGUCAAGUAGCCAAAAUUUCAAAUAAGGCCAUGAAACCCACACACGAUUGAUUUAAGAAAUCCAUUUCAAUAAACUUUCAAGAGAUUUAUGAUGCUGAAUGCGUUGGUACUCCAUGAAUAUGAUAUACCCUACUCUACAUCAAAAGGAGCAAUGGGACCACAGAAAUAAUUUCUGUUUCUAUUUCAGAAACUGAGAAACUAAAAAUUUCAGCUUUUGAUUUCUCCGAUUUCUCUAUUUCUGGAAUAGAAAUCUGUUUUAGAAAUAGAGAAAUCAAAUUACGUUACUAAACGGAUUUCUAUUCCAAACCUGUUCUGGGGAACAGAGAAACAGAAAAAUCGAGAAACGGAAAUUUUAUCACGCGCGCCCUUAGAUUCAAGGUUUACCUUUUUGUUUCAUCCUCUUUGGUGCAAAAUGAGAGAGGAUGAGAAAACUAUAGUUGAUUCCAUUAACAUGUUACACAAGCUUUUACCGUAAGCCUUUAUUGACUAAGAUUGCUUGCAAAAAAUUUCUCAGAUAAAGAAAAAAAAGUAUUGAAAAGGCGUUAGAUUUAUAUAGUGUAAUCAAGUUCUCAUAUCCAUGAAGUUUUUGAUUCAUAGGAGUAAAAUAUUCUCCUACAUGUUACUUAGGUAUUCUAUCAAUCCAUAAUAGAUUAGUCAAUUAAUUUGCAUGUUAAAGAUCAUUUAAUUGAAACCCCAUAGUUGUGAUUGGUGUGAGUUUAAGAGAGUUCAUGUUAAGUGUUUGCUUAGUAAUCCAUUAACUUUCUCUUGAUGAUUCAUUUAUGAAAAUGUCAAGAUAAUCAAUUAAAGUAAAAUGAUUUAUUUUUACUACCAAACUCUAACCAUGAUUUACACUUCAAAUAUUAUUGCAAGACAAUUUUACAUGAAUGAGCUUCUCUUUCUAGAUGAAUCAAUGUUAAGAAUUAAGCAAAUCGAGUAUAUCUGCAAUUUUCGACUAAAAAAUUGUGUCACCGAUAGUAGAAUUUGGCCACAUCGUUAUUUCAUGGGCGAAAGUGCUUUACUGCGUAUUACCAAUUUUUCACUGCUAAAAUUCCCUUGCAGAUUUUGAUUUGAUAUUUCAGGUUUCAUUUGGAAAUAUAGGCACUCGUAAUUCAAUUUCUGCAACUAUUUAUACAUAAUUAAUGAAGCAAAUGAGCAAAUAUACAAUUAAACAUAACAUACAUAAUGUGGCAUAAGCAUAAAAUAAUCCAUGCAGUUAAUAAAAAAGCUGAAAUUCAAGUAUUCAGCUAUACAUCACAUAGAGUAUCGGAAGAAAUAUAAAAUAUACAUAGGGGGACCAACCUCCUCAAUGAUUAGAAAAAAAGAAGAAGAAGAGGAAAACUCAAGAUCUUAUUAUAAUAUAAAGGUGUUCCAACCUUUUCAAUGAUCAACCCGAAAAACCCAAAAUGCAGAUCAGCAUAUAAAGGGCGGAUCAUCAUAUGAAGCUGUUCCGACCUUCUCAACUAUACCGACAUCCUUGAGAUUGAGCAAAUCCUUUGGGCUAUGAAAUCUAGGGCCCACAGGGAUCAAUUAUGGCGAGAAAAUACCACUCUUAGACUCGUGAACAAUGGGGAAAGGACAGGAAGGGCUCAUGACUUAUCCCUUUCAAGAUCACUUCAAGUAUCUCUUUUCUGCUGAAAAGAUUGUAGUAGUCGCGAAAUUCCUGAGAAGCCUAUCUUCCGGAACAUCCUGGAUGAGAACACCCUUCAUUUUAUAAAUCUCCUUCCCUCGAGAAUGGGUGUUUGAACUUUAACCUUUUACUUUAAACAUAGGAAUGCGCUUUUAACUCCACUUGUCCACCCAAAAUCAUUUUCUUAAUAAGCACAAACUAACAUAUCUUAGGUUGUUUUAUAAGAGUUUUUCUGAUAUAAAUUAUAUUAAUUGAUAUUGUAAUUUACUAUUUUACAAUAUUGAUCUAAGAUGAGACAGAAUAUUUAUUAAUUAGUCAAAUAUGGAGUUGGCUAGUAUGGGUCAAGUUAAGCUAACUCGUAAUGAGAAGGUUUGACUAGAAACUCUAUAAAUGGUAUUUAAGUAUUUCCUCUAACCCUAAUACAUAAAAUUCUCACAAAAAAAAAACGUUUAUUAAAUGUUAAGAGUGAGGGAACAUCUCAUUUAGCCAAUAUUACAGAGGACAAUAGAGGAGAAUCGCUUGCGUUUGGAUCGUUACUUUUCUGCUUUCGCAUUAAGAACGAUGGAUUCUAAAACGGGUGCAUUAAUCUUUCUAUUUGAUUAUAUGUGCUUUUGUUCUAACUAUGGAUAUCAUGGAUUGCGUUUUUGUGACUAACGUGUGACAUUGAAUGUAUAGUUUUUGCCCUUUUUUUUUUGUGAUUUUUUGUACAACAAAAAUCAAUUUUGAUUAAAUUAAAUGGAAAGAGCUCGUCGAGACGAGUGGGUGGCCCAUUGAAGGAGGCCACAUGUGCCCCCACGCGCCCUCACAUGUAGGUGAAGUUGGUAUGUGCAAUGUGUGGGCUAACAUCAUUGCAGACCCAACCCAACCCGGUGACCAACUUGAUUGACUUGACUUGAGAUUCGACUCGUUGACCCGCUCGAAUCAGUUUACCACUGACCAAAUCGGUUAAUCGGUCAGACCAUAUAGUUGAACCGAGAACCGGUUGGACUAGAAAGCAAGCUUGUGAGGCUGCCUGGGAGUGUGCUCCAUGCGUCGUGCACUCAAGUGGCACAUGCGGGUGCAUGGAGCCUUCGAUAAGCAUUUGAUUGAUGGCUGGUGCUCGUACGGUAAUUCUCUACAUUGUAGUAUAUUUAUUUUACAUGUUUGAUGAUUUUAUAUAUGUGAAAAUACAUACGAAACCAUAUAUACAUGUAUUUUAGGGUAUUUUCACAUAUUUUACUGUAUUUUUUUAUGACUUUGGAAAUACAGGUGCUGAUUUACAAAUAUAUCAUCACAUAGAUGUUGUGUAGAGUGUGAUUCAUUGAUAAUAUAUAUAUAUAUAUAUAUAUAUAUAUAUAUAAAGUUUAAAUUGCAUUAAUGAAUAAAAUAGUAUAAUUGGUAUGAUAUGUGAUUUUAAUUAUAAAUUACCCAUGUCAAUAAAGUUAAAUCUCAUGUAUAUGGUGUAUGUGAAAAGUAAAGUAUAUAUCACCGGUAUAAGAGAGUUUUGAAGAUUCAAUUGAGUUAAUUGGGUAUGAGAAAUAUCAAUCUCAGGUAAUGAUGUGAUGUUUCCUAUUCUAAUACGUGGUCAUACUCCCAAAUGAGGUGAUUAUGUAUUAGUUUGUGGAAGGAUACAUGAAUAGCAUAUGGCGGAGGAGUGAUUGAUUCUAGUGGUUCAUAUACUCAAAGAUGAUGAAUUCAUGAAGGUUAUAAUAUAUUCCCAUAACCGCUAUUAGGUGGAGAGUAUAUAAUUGCAUGUUAUAUAUUUUGCUCAAAAGUAAUUAUGUGAUUAUGCAUGUAACUUUCUAGAUGUGUAUUUGUACGUCUUUAAGUUGCAUAAUACUCACAUGAUCCUAAUUAUACACAUUGCUUACUUUUUCAGUUACUUUUUUUUUUUUUGUAAACGCUAACUCCAUUACUGUUGAGGUUUUUAUUGGUUCAAAUUUUAAGAGAUGGUGAGAGGUUUUUUGUUUGGUAUGGAGAUGACAGAUGUUUAUAUUGCGUUUAUUGUUGAUAAGCCAGUAAAUCUUACUGCUGAAAGUAUAGAAGAUCAGAAAACACAAUUUGCUGCUUGGGAAAAGCAAUCAAAUUUGCUUAGUAACACUUGAAAAGUGGUUUAUUUGUUGAUUGCACUACUAUACAGAUGAUAAAAGUCUUAGUGGCUAGAAAACGUGUCUCGUCUAAUGCUGAGAUAGGGACACACUUUCGAGUACUCUUUAAUAUGAAGUAUGAUUAUUCUGGUAGAGUUAGGAUUAUAUUUUGAAGAUGGUAGAUCUGUAGAUAAAACUUUAGACUUUUAAUGUUGCUAUUCCCUAUGCUUACAUUUACAUCAAGCUUUAAACAAUAUUUCUCAUGAUUUUGGGAUUAUCAAGAUUAAUUUUAAUUCUUAAGAUGAGACCUAGUCAAUUAAUAACUUGAUUGUAAGGGUGGUUGCAGAGGAAGAGAAAUUGAAGAAAGAUAAAGAGCACAUUGCCCUUAAUGCCUCUAUUUCCGACAAUGAGUGGGGUAAGAGAUUAAAAAAUUAUACUUAUAAGGGAAAUUCUAAAGCCGUUGAUCUUUUCAAUCAUAAAGGAAAUUUUAAAACUGCUGGUCAUUCUAAUAGUUUGGGUCCUAAGAUAGCACUCUUAAAAAAGGACGGUGUUCUUUGCUACUUUUAUAAGGAGAGAGAAUAUGUAAAGAAACAAUAAAUAUAAAACUUGGUUGUCCAAGAUAACCAAUAAUGAGUCUAAAGACAAUGAUUCUUUGGUAUUUGUUUGUAAAUCCAACCUAUUUGAAACCCCAUCUAAUUCUUGGUGGCUAGAUAGUGGUACAACUAAUCACGUUGCAUUUACUAUAUAGGGGUUCAUAAACUGAAGGAUUUUAAUGAAUCAAAGCUUAUUGUAGGAAACAACAUUAAAGUCGACGUCGAAUUCAUUGGAGAUGUUAUUUUGAUUUGAGAUUUUGGUUUUAAGUUGAUGUUAAGAAACACUUUUUAUGUACGAAACUUAGCUUUUGUAUCUUAUUUUGACAUGUGGGGAUACUCUUUUGAAAUAAAGAGCAAUAUCAUUUUUAUAUUUUUUAAUUCAAAUAAGGUUGGGUGCUACAAUUUGUCUAAUGAAUUGUACUAAUUGUGUUUAUUUCCCAGUGAUAUGUAUGCCACUUAUUCAUAUGAAAAUGUUAUUUCCAAAAGACCUAUUCCUAAUAAACAAUCUUAUGCAUUGUGAUAUAAAUGUUUUGGUCACACCUCUAGAAAAAGAAUAGAAAUGUUGAUAAAAGCUGACAUCCUACUUAUUCUUAAAAUUGAUCUAGAGUCUUUUAAGAAUAGCUAUUUCAUAAGUAAAUAAUCUAUUAUAUAUUACUAAUUAACUAAACUAAUAUAUCUUGUUUGGUUCCACGUGGAAUCAGAUUAUCAAAUGUGGAAAGAAGUUUUACUUUUGGCCUUAAUGUUUGGAAAAAAAAUUUCAAUACUUGUUUGGUGUAACGCAGAAUCAGAUUACUAUAAAACAAGAUAAGAACCGUCAAAAGUGGAAAGAAGUUUUGCUUUUGGCCAUAAUAUUAUGAAAGAAACUAAGGGGUGCAUGAUAAACUAAAAUUUAUAUUCUAGAAAUAAUUUUUCUAUUUUAGACUUGUUUGUUUUUGGAAUAGAAAUUCGUUUACUCAUUUUUCAAUUUCUGAAAUAGAUUUUUAUUCCAUAAAUAGAUUUGGAAUAGAAAUUAAAAGUAAAAAUUUUCUACUUUUUUAUUUUAUUUUAUUUCUAGAACAUAAAUGAGAAAUAAAAAUUCUUUUCAUUGUUUGUCCUUGCUACGAAUAGGUCGUUCAUCUGUUGCCGCCAACUAUCGUCUGUCGGUCGCCGGUUGCUGGUCGCCCACCGCUAGCCGCUGGCCAUUGUCAUCUGAAAGGGAGAAAUUUUGUGUUGUUAUCAAACGUGAAUUUAUGCUUAGAAACUCAUCUAGAAAUAGAAAUAGAAAAAUCUAUUUCUCUUCCAGAAAUCAAUUUCUGGCCAGAAUAGUUAUCAUUCGUGCCCUAAAUUUACAGGCAUGUGAUUCUCUCUCUCCUCCUCUCAACGUUAAUUGAGAGACAGUAAUGUUGCAGAAACAUAGCCAUGUGAAUGAGGUAGACAAGAGGGAAAAAAUUAAAUGUACUUGGUGUGCUGCCACAGAAAAAAGCAACAGCAAACAAGGAAGGAGAGCAGUAACUAUUUGUCCGUGGAGGCUUGAACCGUGCAAGAGAAUGAGACUCUCCAGAUUACUUGACCAAGGGUUCAAUGGACCAAAUGAAUCAUGACCAUUUAUUUAAUGGAUCUCGCCUCAAUUUCUCGUGAGUCCCACCAAAUUAAUAGUUGUUUUCAAUAUUUUCUGAAUUUAUUUUAAAUGUUCUUUGAAAGUGGUUGAAUUUUCGAAAACAUUUUGAAUUUUUGUUACUUUCGACAAAGUUUGAUUUUUUUUUGAAAUUUUUUGAAAAUUUUUGAAAUUGUUAAUAUUUAAUAUUUUUUAUUCGGAAAAAGGGUUUGGACCGAGUAGACCCAAUCCGACCCAUUGACCCGACCUAAUCUCGGAUCCAACACUGUCAGAUUAAAAAAGAAAUUUAUUUUUUAUAUUUUUAAUGAUUUUUUUCUUUCUUUUGUCUUUUCCUCACUUUGCCCUUUUCCCAGCACCUUUUGCUCAACGGUCCUUUCCGAAGCCAACUUUUGCUAUUUUAUAGUUUUCUACUUUUUUUGUUCUUCUUUUUUCCUUUUUUUUAAUUCUUUAUUCUUUUUUUCUCUCUUUUUUUUUUGAACAACAUUCUUUUUUUCUCUUUACUUCAUCCCUUUUCCCGGCGAUGGAGGCAUCGGAAGGAGGGGCAAAUUUCUUUUGUUUAUACUUUUUUCUUUGCUAUUUUGUGGCAAAUGAAAUGAGGCCAAGCAAAUCUAGGGAAAUUAUCAAAAAAGUCAUAAUUGUAUAGUACCUGAGUCAAUAUAGUCAUAAAUAUUUUAAUUUAGUCAAUUUAGUCAUGAGGUUUUUUGACGGUUUAUCAAUGUGAUCAUUCCAACCAAUUUUGAUUAGAAAUCACUGACAUGAAUUUUGGUCGUCCUACAUGGUAUGGAAAUAGUCCAAAAAACUCUGUACUUUGGGCCACGAAAUUUUCAUAGCUAGAGCAUUGUGGCAAGAAAAAUAUUUACUUUUGAUGUCAGCAUGUUUCGUUGUUGAAUAGUCGUCACAAAGAACUUUGCACUUUUAGGGAUGACAUAUUUGGUUGCUAAGGGUCCAUGUGUUUUUCACGCAUCAAAAAGAUAAAAUCGUCCCUAUUAUUAUAAUCAGGCCACAUUUUCUGGGGCUAUUUGGCUUCGAAAAUUGCAUCGAAAAUUGCGUUGCUAAUGGUAUAAUUUGGCCCAUUGUUUUUUCAAAGGCUAAAAACUGCUUUGCUGCGGAUCCAAAUUUGCUAGGAGUUUUCAUUGCUAAAAGUCACUUGCAGAUUUCGAUUUUAUAAUUCAUGUUUCAUUUGGAAAUCUAGGCACUUAUAAUUCUAUAUUUCCAGCUAUUUAUACAUAAUAAAUGAAGCAAAUGAGGAAAUAUACAACUAAACAAAACUUGAUGCGGCAUACGCACAGAAUAAUCCAUGCAGUUGACAAAGGUGCUGAAAUUCAGGUCCAGCUAUACAUCACAUGGUGCAUUAGAAAAGAUAUACACACACACACACAUAAAGUGGCUCCACCUUCCUCGAUGAUCAACCAAAAAAACAAAACGAAGAUCAUAUCAGCAUAUAAAGGUGAAAACACCUUGAUCAGUCCUAACGUUUUUUUCUUUUUUUUGGAUUUAAUAAAGACCAUAAUAGUCUCAUAUACUGUUUUUUCAAUUUCUUUUUAUUUAAACUCAAGUUGACGUCUACACAACUUGAGUAUAAGGGGGAAUCAUGAGAUAUUUAGGAUAUUUUUCAUAUUUCUCAUAGUUAUGCAUAUAUCUUGGAGAUUCUACAUAUCUUUGAUUAUGCAUAUCUUAAUUAAUUGUACUUGAUUGAAUACCUUAAUAUAGCCUAUUUCUAUACUACUAGUUAGAAAAAAAAUUCAAUAUAAAAUUAUACAAAAAUUCCACAAUUCUUCCUUCCGCAUAUUUUUAUUUUCGAAAAAAAAAUCCAAAUCCAAAUCACCCUAUAAAUAGUGGCCCACCUCGAUAAUCAACACAAAGGAAAAAAAAUUGAAAUCACUAAUAAGCACCUACAAAGAAUACAAUUGGAAGAUCAAUAAAAGAUAAUGCAUGUAAAAAUAUAAAUGAAAUGAUUUCUUUUAUUUUGGAAAAAAACGAAAAAUCUAGAAAACAUUUUCCUAAUAUUAAUGGCUUAUAUCUCUUGAAUCAAUUAAUUAAUUUUUUUUAUUAUUGACACCAAUUUCUUUCUAAAUGUUCUCAUGGACGAUGGAAUAUUAAUCUAGAAAAAAAAAUGCAAUCCUAAUUUAGGAAACUAUCCUAUCUAAUAUAUAAUUUGAUUUUUUUUUUUUUGGUGUUUUCAAAACAAUCAAUUACCAAUUAUAAGAAUUAUAUACAAUCCACUCAAGAUAUUUGUUGAGAAUUGAAAUAAAGGGUUAAAAUAAUCGAAAAAAUAAUUCAUUGUCUCACGGAUUAAAUUAAUAAUUAUUCUAACCCUAAACAUCACAAUAUGCAAGAAAAAAUCAAUAUAACUAAAAAAAUUAAUCCCAAAUCUCAUGAAUCAAAUUAAUAAUGAUAAUGAUUUUAAAGUUAAAACAUCAUCAAUGCGCAAAAAAAUCAAAAUAAUUAAAAAAAUUGAUUCACAGUCUUAGAGAUUAAAUUAGCAAUUAUAGUGAUUUUUUGCCAAUAAUAUCUUAUUAGAAUGCUUAACUAUUAAUAUCAAAUAUUUUCAUUUAGGCGAUGAUAUCGAGAUGAGAUUUGGCUCAAGAAAAUUACCUUAUUUGGAUUAUUUGCUACCAAAACGGGAUUAGCGCCAAGGAUUCACAAAUGGCAGUUUGCGUCGGGACAAGCUCAGCUGUGAUGGGCUCACGACCAAUGAACCUGCAAGAAUAGAAAGUUCACAGAAUCGACUCGGCUUGGACACGAACGGGAACAUCGGUUGGCGUCGGGGUCUGGAUGGCAGCUUUGUGACUACGGACAACGGGCAUUGGAAAUGUUGCUGGGGGGCAGCGAAAGUAGAAGUAGCAAACGACAUUGAGGUGGUCGGGCUUGGGACAGCAGCGAUGGUGUUGGGCGGAGGCGCGAUGACGGGCGAUUCGCGGCAUCGGGGAGCUCCGGAUGAAGAGGUCGACGCUGGACAGGGAGGACGCGGGUGGGCGCACAACCUUGAGCAAUUCCGGCAGGGACAGGACGUUUUUAAUCUUCUUGGGCGAGGGUGAGGCGAGCAAGUCGGCGGCACUCGGGGCAACAGCAGUUGCGCCGUUUGUGAUGGUAGCAACGGCGGCGUUUGGAGCAGCGGCAACGACAAAAAGGCGGUCGCGGUUAUGGGCAGCGUUGUCGAGUUGGUCAGAGAGGAUGAAGAACAAGACUUCCCCUCCCCUUUCUUUUUUUCUCUUUUUUUUUUUCCUUCCUUUUCCUGCGUGUGGGCUGCCGGUGAAGGGUAGGCGGUCUGGCGAGGGGGAGGCGGCACGGUGAAGGGUAGGCUGUUCGGCGAGGGAGAGGCAGCGUGGCAAAGGGCAGCGUUCGGCUAGGGUCAUUGUGCGGAAGACAUGGCGUGGCGAGGGUCGCGACAAACGGGAUCUUGCGAUUUGGGUCUCUGCGAGCCUCGUUGAGCCAUAGUGCGACCCACCGCACUGCGGAGGUUGUCGGCGCUCGCGAUCCGGUCGCUGUGACCCAGAUCAUGAGAUCCCGAUCGCUGUGACCCUCGUCGAGCCGUCAUGUGACCCACCAUGCCGCGGAGGUCGCUAGCGCUCGCGAUCUAGUUGCCACGACCCAUAUCUGCGCAACUAGAUCUGUGCACGAUUUGGGUUGCCGGCGUCCUUCGUAGGGCGACCCUCGUUGGAGGGUCGUGGAACCCUAACUAGACCACCUGCCCUUCGCUGCACUGCCUACCCUUCAUCGGACCACCUACCCUUCGCCGGUGAUUGCGUAUAGAUGCUAGCCGUGUUCUCAGUAGAGAGAAGGGAACGAUGAAGAUGAUCAACAAAUGUCAGGGUAAAGACGAAAAAAAAGAAAAAUUAACGAAGACAAUUUCGGAAGAAAAAACUUAUUACCUUCAAAGCCAGCAUGCUGGGAAUGCCCAAGGUAGCCCCCAACCUGCCUUGGGCUUUUAGCCUUGGGAAGGCUUUGCCUUUAGCAAAGGCAAGUGAAAAAAAAUUGCCAAAUACUUAAUAUUUGGCCCACAGGCCUUUAGCCCCCCAAAAACCCUUGGGAAAGCAGUUCCCAAACGAAGCCUUUGUCUGUUUGUGAACGACUUUUAUAGGUGAGGGACUAAGGUUUUUUCAGAAUAUUUUAUUUCCUUUUUUUGCCAGAUUCAAACUUCCUCUGUCAACAUGCGUUAAAUAUCACUUUUGCUCGCCCACAUGCGUUAAAUAUCACUUUUGCUCGCCCGUAACCUCAAGAAUAUAUAUUUUCAAAAUAUGUGUCCCUACAUGCAAUAUUUCUUUUUAUUUUCCACAUCUCUUCUUGCCUUGUUUGAUUUCCCCUUUCUACAUUGGACUGUGCAAAAAAUGAAUAUUCUCCACCUACCACGCUCCGAUCCUCGGGCACGCACCCAUCCCUUAACUGGUUGAUUAAUAGCGAUGUCCUAGAACGCAUCACCGUUUCAUUCAUUUUGUGACAUACGCAUGUAGAAGCAAAUAAAAUAAUCCCCAAAUAAUAAAAUAAUGGGAUAGAAAAGUAGGGCUAUAUUUUUCACAACUGAAAAACCACAACCACACUUUUAUACAAGGCAAACCUCAUAGUAUAUAUUACAAUAUUAUUAACAAGUCAGAUCUAUCACACAUCAAAUCACAACUUAAAGUCUGCAAAACAAGGUCGGGGUUUAAAUCCUCAUUCGGGUCAUACUCUGGAUCAUCCUUGGGAUCCUCCUCGGACUCCUCCUCGGGUUCCUUAUCGGGGUCCUUCUCUUCGAGUUCUUCCUUCUUAGGUUCCUCCUCCAGGUUCUCUUCUAGGUACACCUCUUCUUUUUCGACCUCUCAUUCUUCUAUGUUCUAGCUGGAGUCUACUGCUGAUUGCUUGGGAGAGUUCGGGUCACUCUCGAGCUUAGGGUCUUUAGCAUUGGUCACUGCUUCGUUCUUGGGAUCUGCAGUCUCUUCUCAGAAUGCUGCCUCUAAAACGAACAGAGGCACAUCACCCUUUGGUACGAGACCCUCUCUUCGCCCAUCAUGGUAGUGACGAUACCACAACCUACACUCAUGGGGCACCAAGGCAUCUUUGCCCACGUCAAUCUAUACACUGGAUUUUACUAAAAUAUACUCUAGUCCUUUCGGGUGAGGGUGUAUCGGGAAGUGGUACCCUAUCUCGGUGAUCUUCUCGGGUAUACCAAAAUGCAUGGGAGGACGAGGAGGUGAAAGUGUUGCUAUCUAGAGACUUGAAAUGUUGUCCCACAACCGGGAUGAGACUAUGUUUCAGCAAGUUCUAUCCCCUAAGACUCGAUUAGGAAGCUAAUACACAUUAGGGCUGCCUAGCAUAACACGAGUCAGAUGACUUACCUUGGCCUCAGCCCCUUCUUGCAAGUCAGUUUAAUUCAUAAUUACUGACAGAUAUAACAUCCAAUCAAAUCAGAUCGAAUCAUUGAUCAAUCGAUCUAGUCGAUUACAUGUCAAUCAGAUCAUUUCCUGGUCAUUCUAAUUCGUAUUAUGCAAUUUCCAAGAUGAUAUAUAUUUAGUCAUCGAGCCACAUGCAUUCUUAAAGGCGACGUAUUUGUCACCGAGUCAUAUGCAUUCUCUGAUAUGACAUACUUAAUCACCAAGCCCCGUGCAUUCUCUAAGGUGACGUACUUAAUCACCGAGUCACGUGCAUUCUCUAAGAUGAUAUACCAAAUUAUCGAGCCAUGUGCAUUCUCUGAGGUGAUGUACUAAUCACUGAGCCACGUGCCCUUUUCAAAGGUAAUGUAUUUAAUCAACGAGUCACGUGCAUUCUUCAGGAUGACACCCUUGGUCUUCGAGCCACGUAAUACAACUUUCUUUUUCACCACUUUAUAUAGCCCACUAAAACAUCGAUGACGCUAUAGACUGAAGCUUAGUUAUUUCUCAAUCAAUUGCUGAAAUUAAAUAAUAUAGGAAUAAAAUCCUAAAAUCAUAUUUAAAUCAAAUUAGCACGAUUUAGUGCUCAAAUAAAUAAAUGGACUGCACCACAACAAUCAGCAUAAAAUUUCGAUCGUCGACUAUCCCAACCUAAUUUCCGGAAAAUAAAUAAAUAAAUAAAUAAUUAUGAAAAUUAUUAAAUAAAUGCAAUAAAUCCAUUUAUGCUUGUAAUGCCUAAUUGGAUGCCAAAACAAACCCAGAAAAUUUUCGAGAUUUGAUCAAUAAAUACUAGGACCUAUUUCCUUGCAAACUACACCAAUCAUUUGCCUUGCAUGCAUUGAUAAGUUUCUAAUUUAAUUACUCUAAUUUAAUCUAUCCAUGUAAUUGUACUUAAUUAAAUCUAAUCAAUCUCUAAGCAUCAUUAGCAUACUAAGCAAGGUUAGUGAGAAAAACUCACUUGUUUAACAAAUGGGUCGGAUCAAACUGACGGGAACGUCGCGGGGGACGAUUCUUCUUAAAGUGGGCCUAGGUUUCGAGGCCUGGAAAACCUCUAAAACGGGCCUAGAUGGUGGCUGGAAACCCACUAAUAUUUUGUUCUGUUCUUGUUGAAACAGAAGAGAGCAAAGCCGGUUUAGAGUGGAAAUCGAUUGGGAAAGGGGAAAAAGGGCAAACCAGGCCUUGGUGGGGUUUACCGGCGGCUGAGCUCCACAAACUGUUGAACAGUGGUUGGGACGGCGUGAGGAGCAGAUGAGGGAUCGGGGUCGAGUAGUGAGGUGGCGAGCACGUGCGGUGGUCACGGCGGUGUGCGGCAUGGAGGGGCGGCUGUCCGGCAUGGUUGCUAGCUUCUUGCUAGCUGUUGGGAGCGAAAAUGGUGAGGGGAAUGGAGAAGAGGUUGGCCGAUUGAGGACUAGAGGGAGAGAGGAAAGAUCUAGGGGACCAAGGGCUUCACCACUUGCUUAUUUUUCAUUUAAUUGUCCCCUUUGACCAUCAAACACCACACACACCUCCUUGGCUACAAAUCAGCCAACCAUGCACCCCUCACAACCUUUGAAGUGGUCCAAAAGGCUAGGCAAUGGGGGACAUAUGAAUUUACAAGCAAAUGGCUUCAAUUGGACUUAGUUUCUUGUUUAAUUCAAUCCAAUUUGACUUCAACAAAUUCCAUUAUCGAGUCCUUGAUCCAAUCGAUAUUUUUCCUCACCAAUAGAUCCAUCUUGCAUCUCAAUUUCGCGAUAAAAAACAGUCAUCGGCUUUUUUUGAACAAAAAUGGUCAUAUGCCGACUUUUUCCCAAAAAGUCUCAGGUUUCAGAAAAAUCUUCUGAGAUUGAGUCGACGUUCCUAGAAUUUAUUGUGACAUGACAGAAUCUUCAAUUUAUGAAAUCGGACCUGAAUUUGCAGUUAAUUUCACUUAGACACGUUUUUAGCGUGACCUAGACUACCAGGUAGUUUUCGGAGAUUUUUAGUGCAAAUGACCCGUGGUCGAUUUUCUUUGAGCCAUAAUGAAUCAACUCGACAGAUUGGUAACUCUCAGUUAUCGUGAAAAUCUCGAGGAUUCAAAUAUAGACACCGAGUACCAAAACGACAGAAGAUUCAGUCUAGGGCUGGUCGACGAGAAUUUUUCAAUUUAGUGGUGUCAUCCAUGAUUAAUCACAUAUCUUAGUCGAACAGACCUAUCUUUGAUCUCAAAUCAAUUUUUAACUGUGCCGUAAUGGCCUCUAAAGAUGAGCACGGUCAAGAAGUCAAUUUCUGGUCUAAUUCUCAAAUCUAUUGCAUUAAAAUUCCUUAAUAACUUACUUGAAUAGUCUAGUUAUCUCGAGAGUGAUCAGCUCUGAGAAUAACCUUAUAGGUGCGUCGAUGAAAUGCCCAAUUUAUUCAAUAGAAAACAGAAGUGAAAAUCUGGGAUGUCAUACCACCCAUAUUAUUUGAUCAAGCAUUGCCAAAAAUUCAAGAUUAUAAUAGAAUUUUUCCAAAUUCCAUAUAAAAAUGAGCUUGCAAUAUCUCUUUCUUAGGAUAGCCCUUAUUGAGGAUAUAUAAAAAAAAUUACGUGAAAAUAUGAAAAAUCCCCCGUCAUAUAAUCUAAUAUUGGAAGAAUAAAACAAAUUCUUAUUGAAAUAUGCCUAUCUUCCAACUCAUAAAAUUAAAGCUCAUUUGUCAUCAAUCCAAUGUAAAUGCAAUAAAAAAAAUGCUCUUAAAACUAUAUAUCAUGAAAUUUAAUUAUAAUAUUUUUUUUUUACAAAUUAAAAGUUAUCCCAUAAUUUUCUAUACAACAAAUGAAAGAUUGGAUUGCGAAAAAUUUAGGUGUCAACAUUUGACUUAGAUCAAGUUGCGUCUACUUUACCAUGUUGAUAGCCUACUGGCAGGAUUCUAGUAAAUGAUUAACAAGAGAUUCCAAUAAUGAAUGAUUACACUCUGUUUAUAAUAGGCCACUCUAUCUUACUUAGACACUCUUUUUGUACUUCUCUUAGGAUCACAAAAUUAAAGCCCACGGUAGACAAGCAUAUGGUAGAAGUUCAAUCAAACAUUAGAAUUCUAGAUUCUUGCCCAUCUUUUACUUGCUCCUUGGCACCUUAGUCUCCUUAUAUAUGCCUCCACUUUCAAACUAACCGUUGGACAUCUCUAUAAGAUUUUCUUUCAAUCUACCAGUUGAAUAGAUAUGCAUAAAAAAAAUUGAGUUACUAGUAACAAAAUAUGAAUCUCCACGACUAGUAACAAAAUAUGAAUCUCCACUUAAUUCUAGCUGCCCAUACAACCAAAGUGUUGGUUUUCAUAAAUAAAGCUUCUCCAUAUAGAAAGAAUUUGUCUCAAGAUUGAAUUAUCAACCAAAUAAGAUGUUUUGCUUUACAAAAUUGGUUUGAAAAAUAAUCUUUAAGAUUAAGUCAAUCAAAUCUUUCAAAGUGUGAAAUCCAAGGCAAAUCAUUAGCCUUUAUAUAUACACUCUAGACUAGUGUCACGUUCUAAAAUUGUGUCAUGUUUUGAACUUGCGUCUCAUUUUGAAUUUGUGUCACGUUGUUAGCUUGUAUUAGAAUGGGAACAAAAGUAGUUCUCUAAAUCUGAAGUUUUUUCAUCUUCAUUGUAAAGUCCAAAUCUCAAUCGCUUAAAGUAGAUUCUACAAUCUGGAUAUAAAUCUGAACACGAUUAAGAUUGCUAUAAGCUUUUCUUUUGCGAUUAUUUCCUUGAAUCAACAUACUUCAAGAUGUUUAUUGACUUAUUGAAUAUGACACUCAUGGAAAAUUUGUCAACUUCAAAAUUUAUUCGGAAGUUUUUUCAAUAUGUUACUGUUCAACUUGGAAACAGACUGCCGCAAUCCUACAUCAUUGUGUAACCAUUUUCUUCAUGUAUUUGGGUUGGCGACGUUUCUUCCUCCCCUUGAGGUUCAUUCCAGCUAGCCCUAGAAGAGGGGAAGAGAGGUUUGAUUCUCAUGCACUAGUCACUGAGCAAACAGAAAAUUAUCUUCAUUGAAAACAACAUCACGAGAAACCAAUAAUUCUUCAAUUUCCCAAAUAAAAAACUUUUCGACCCUUCAUUCCGUCUGGAUAUCCAGAAAAUACACACUUUCAUAUCCUUCCUUCAAAUUGCCCUUUGCCCUUUGAUGGUUCGUGAGCAUAGCACAAUGUACCGAAAGCUCACUAAUGACUUCUCAAACAAAAGAUUGAAAGGUGUUUUUCCGAAUAGUAACAGAGUCGGAGUAUAAUUGAUUAAAUAAGCAGCGGUUUAUGUGCAUUCUUUCCAAAAUCGAAUUGGUAAAUUCGCUUGAAAACGAAGUGCUUGUGCUACUUGAGAAUAUGUUGAUAGUUUCUUUCAACUCACCCAUUUUGCUUUGCCAUGUAAGUACAUGAGGUCUGAUGCAUGACUCCACUUCUUUUAAAAAAAAUAUAUCCUUCAUGGAAUUAGAAAGAAAUUCACGGAUACUAUCAUUUCAAAUUAUUUAUACUACUUGCCCAAAUUGGAUUUUUAUCACAUGAUAAAAGUUCACAAAAACUUUAUGCAUCUCUGAUUUUGUCUUCAUCAAAUAGGCUCAAAUUUCUUGACAAUAGUUAGAAAGUAAUGUGCACCCGAUAGUUAGAGACACGGUCUUAUACGGGCCCCAAACAUCACAAUGCAAAAAAUAAAAAAUUCCAUCAGCUUUAUUAUUACUUAAAAAAAAUGAAAAUCAAGUUUGUCUCGCACAACACGCAUCUACAAACCAACUCCUUCAUUUAUCUCAAAUCCAAUCUUCAAAUUCAAAGCUUGCAAUGAUGGGUGUCCCAAUCGUCGAUGCCAUAUGUCAAUAUCCUGCCCCUUGAUGGCUUGGAAAAGCUGAAUGAGUGCCUAUACGUCAAAUAUAAUAAACCCUUAAAAUUACCCACUUUAAUCAAUCUCUUCAAGGCUAGGACCUGUAUGACACAUCGAGAAGAGAAGAGUGUCACCGAGCAUUGCAAAUUCGAACUCAACUUUCCAACAAAAAUAAGGUUGCACUUAUGGUUUGGGACAUACAACACACCAUACAAAAUAAAAUCAGGGCUUAAGUAGCCAUCACCUCUUUUGGUAGAGAAAGUCAAUUUUUAUCUCAAGUUUGUAUACGAUAUGCCCCCAUUAUGUUCCUUGGUUGUUUCAGAAGCAAAUUUUGCCCUGUCAUAUGUUUGGAGGCUCCUCUAUCAAUAAUCCAAUUUGUGAAAAUAUCACUGGGCCAAUAGAGCUUACUUGAGAGUUGUUCGAUAGAAGUGGGCAGUUUCAUUGCUAUGAGCAAACUAACUAAAUGCUAAUAUACCCAAUCAUGGGCAGCGCAGUUGGUGUGCGUUCUAUCCCUCAUCGCCAAGAUUGAGGGUUCAAACCCUCUUAUUACUAAAGUGUCUUAAGUGGGGCCCUGGUGUUGGGGUCUUAGGUGUUGACACCUAAAUUUUACAAUUUUAUUAUGUACAAGAUUAUGAAUUAGUCACUAAAAAAAAAAAAAAGCAAACAAAACAAUAAAAAAAAGAAAACAAAAACAAAAACAAAAAAAGAAAAAGAAAAAGAAAACAUGGAAGGGGUUGGGCCGGAUCUCGCCUUGGCUCGGCCCAUGCCGCCUUCUCCCUCUUCCUCUUCGUGCGUGAAACCCUAGCACAAAGGAGAAGACAGGAGAAAAAAACCAGAGAAUACAGCAACAGAGAGAAACUGGAAUAGAGUGUGAGAAAAUAAUGAGCAAGGAGGAGAGUUCGAAAGAGAGAGAGAGCUCGAGGGAGAGAGGAGAAAAGGAAAGAGAAAACUAGAAGGAAGGGUGGUGCUGUUGCCGCCGUCGUCGCCACCGCUGUUGUCGCUACCGCUCGAUUGACGUCGACCCCGCUGCUGCUCGACCGAUGCCGACCCCUGCCGUUGCUCAUCCACCGGUCUUUGCUGCGACCUGUAGUUGCCAAGCCUCAGCUCGCCGCCCUCCUGCCCAAGCACCAGAUCCCGAGCCCCUGCGAUGCCACCUCUACUCUGGCCCUGUCCGUGACCCAGCAUCAACGCCUGCUGCUUCAGUUGAAUCACUGACCACCGCCACUCAGCCAGUCAUUCGCGACUGCCCAACUCCGACCUACAUUUGCUCCGCCUCGCCAACAACCCUGCGACACCGCUACUCUACCUUCGCCGUGCCCCGAAGCCCGCAACUUGCUUCGCCUUCGCCUCACCUCCAUCUGCAACGGCGACGGCCCCCAUGCCAGCAGCUGAGCCUACCCUCCUUCGUGCCAGCUGCUCCCGUUUCCACUUCGUUGGUCUCCAUCCACCACUGCAGCACCAGUCCAACCCUGUCGCAGCACCGGCCUGUCGUCGCUGCCACCUGCCGUGUUGUCGGAGCCACCCGCCGUGCCGCUGCCACCUGCUGUGUCAUUGCCGCUGUCAAGCCCAGCGUCACGAAGGAGUAGGGGGAGAGAAGAGGCAGAAUCGGGUUGAGCGAGCCCUCCAAACCGGGUAGGGUUUGGUCUUCGAAGUGGGUUGGGCUUGGGUCGCUCUUCGAGUCGGGCUUCGGAUUAAGGUAAAUUGGGUUGGGCUCUCGCGGGCUUAGGAAAUAGGUGGGCUUUUUAAUUUUCUUUGGGCCCUGACUAAAGUAUUAAAAAAAAAAGGAAUUUUAGGCUCACUCGGGCCUGUUGCUACUGACUGGGCCAAGCUCGAGUUCGGUCGUAGAUGGGACUCGGCCAGCAUUGACCGAGCUGAACUUAGGUCGGGUUAAACCCAACUUGACCCGUCCCAAAAAAAAAAUUAUUAUUUAAAAAAAAACAAUUUCGGGAAUCCAAAAAAAAAUCAAAAAUUAUUUUAAAACAAUUUUUUAUUUUUUUUUUAAAUUUCGAAAAUUAAAAAAUGAUGGGGUUUGAUUAGGACUUGUCAUGUAUUGCCAUUUUAGUGUAAUUAGACUUUUAUUUGCUCGUAUAUUAAUUAUGUUGCAUGUUUUAUUUGCAUAUCUAAUUAUGUUUAAUUGCACGUAUCUAAUUUUGCUGCAAUUAGGAUCUUGAUAGCAAUGAAUGUUAUUUUAAUGUUUGCGCACCUGCAUGAUCACCUCACAUGUUAAUGGAUAGGUAAAAAUCGAUUCAAACUGUUUGACAAAAAUAUUUUCUCUUAAAAUGAACAAGAUUAGGUACCGAAAUGGCACUAAUUGGUUAAUUAGUGUAAUCAAGUCCCCGUUCCUAGAUUUUCUGGUUGCAUAGGAAGUGAGGUAUACUCCUAUACCUCACUUGAUUUUUAGUCGACCCCAAUAGGCUAGUGGCGACUCCUUUUGUGCAAAAUUCCUGAAAAAUAUCACAAUGUCACGCGGGGUAUGGGUUUAGGAGAGCCCCCGCCUAAGCAUGGACCUUAAGCCCGUCCUUUAGGCUUUACCCCUAAACCUUUUUCCUCUCCCCGAAGGUAGGUCGCAACAGCUUGGCGACUCCACUUGGGAUUUGGUUUUAGACCUUAGAGGACUUAGGCUAAAAUUAAUCUUGUUUAAAAAUAUUUUUAUUUGGCAGCGAGGAUUCCAGGUACGUCCCUAACAUUAAAGGUGUUAAAUGUUUUUACAGAAUGGGAGGUAUAAGGGGAAGUGUUUGCUCACCUUUGUCUUGCAGUGAGGCGUAGAAUAUGAAGUGCUGAUUGCUUAUAAAUUGUCAUGCCUGUGUUUCCUACAUUGCACUACACCAUAGCACACACAACUAGCUGUCGGACUUGGGCCGCAUAGGAUCACUUAGGAUGGUGUUGAGGUGGAUACCACUCUGACUACAACCGCGUAGUACGAGUUGCCCACCUCUACCCCGAAAUUUCUUUCUUCACGUCGAAGGUACCCACCCCGGUCUGCGAGCAUACGACACGGGUCGGUUCUUUGAUGAAGCCGGAGUCAUGGGUAACCCGACCUAGCCGCGACCUUGUUGGUUCGGUCCGGUGAUCCUAUGGCUUCAUUUUGAGCCAUAUAGAGUAGAAAUCGAACCACAUCUUAUGUGCAUGUCCAUGUAAAAAAAAAGAAAAAAGACAAAGGUUGGCACCCAUUGUAAGUGUCAUUUUCCUUUUUAUUUGCUCAUUAUGUAUUGCAUUUUCAUCUUGAAAUUCGCGGAAAUCAAUCGAAUACCCUCGGUGAUGCAAGCUUAUGAUUGAAAAAUUGGCAAUCACUUUUGACAAGUGAGCAUUUGAAUGCAAUUUCUAAACAUUUUGAUUUGGCCCUGUUGAACACAUGGUUUUGUUUAAAUUUCUAGUUAUGGGCUCGAAAUCAUUUUGAAAAAAAAAAAUUUCAAUUUGUGAUUUUAUAUUGUGACACAAAUUGAAAUUGCAUUUUUUUAUCAAAUUUUCUCAUUCUCACAUUUUGGGACUAUAAUGCAAAUCAUUUUGUGUACAAAUUCCUCAAAAUAGAAAUCACUUCAUUUUUCUAGGAGUAAAAUCACAAAUCAAUCUUUCAAAAAUCAAUGACACUUUUGCAUAUGAAACUUUUGGAAUAAAAGUGGACAUUCGAUUGAUGGCCGUGGAUUGAUAAUUUUAAUGAUGUCUUCUCUUAUGAUAAAAUUUUGGCGAAAUACUAAAAUCCCGUAAUAAGGAUUGUGGGGCACGUAUCAUUGCCUCGAUUUUAUUGUAAGAAGUGACCUCAUUAAGACAUCAUUUUCUCUCAUUCACAUAUUGACAUUGUCGUCUUUUUGCAGGUUAUGUGCAAUGCUCUUUGACGUUCUUGUGGUGACCAUUUAAAGAAGUGAAUUCUAGAGUUAGGACAAGAGUUGUUUUUUUUUUUUUACUUUCAUCUAUAAAAGAGUCUUGUAUUUUAUCAUUGUCUUUAUUCUUGUUAAGAAACACGUUUUCCAUUUUGGGUUUUGAUUUGCAAAUCGAAUUGAUGCUCUUGUAAAUCGUGCGACUCUCAUUUUUAACGAUGGAAUUCGAAAAUCAUCAUUUUUUAUAAUAAAAAAAAAAACAGAGCAAAACAAAGAAAAAAAAUGAAUUCAGAAGUGUUUCAAGUGUAUCUUUAUGUUUACCUUCCAAAAUGACUUUUAAAAAAAAAAAAAAAAGCUUUGUUUAAGGCUCUCUCUUCAUGUGGUCGCUUUCUCAGGUAGAAUGAAUAGUUUAUUUGAGAUCGACAUUUGCUCAUUCUAAAAGAUAAAAGUGUAGGCUCAUGGAACUUGAGGUAUAAGCAUCCUCGGCGCCAAUUUUCCAUAGAAGCGGAACGAAGUUGAAUUUCGUUCUAGGAAGUUUUGUUAUUCGCAAAUGCCUUAGGUGCCAAAACAACUCAUUGAUCUUGUUCACUUUGCAUGGUGAGACAAAUGAAGGGAGUUGCCAAAUAUCCAAAAGGGCGAAUUCGAAGGAAGAGUAAAUUGUAUCGAUUCUAAUUGUCCAUUUCUGAUACCGUUUCUGACAUGAUUUUCUUUUCAUUGUCAAGGAGACAUCAAGAGUACCAAGUUUUGUAACAUUCCAACAAAUGCGAUGGAGCAUUGUUGAGUUAUGUUCAUCUUAAACAAAGAAAUAUUCAAAUGAUGAAACAAAUGGGCAAUAUUAUCCCUUCCUCCAUUAGAGAUACAUUGGGAUGUUGAUUGCUCGACUUUGAAAAUGAUGUAUCUCAUUCCUAAACUUGAUUUCUCUUUAGUGUAAAAAAUGACAGGUCCUUUUCUUUGAUAUAGGACGGAUUCAAACAGAACAAAGGUUUGUCAAAUAAAGAGUGGAAGAGCAAUGUUUGAUUUAGAGAAAAAUCUCUCCUUCACCCCACCAAUGAAGUGUGCUAGAACGACAUUGUCAAAUCCAUCAAGAAAGGAUGUAUCGUUCCUCAACUGAAUUUAAUUGAGUAUGGAGAUAACCUAUUUCAUCUCCUCUUCUUACAGGGUGAUAAAUGAAAAAAAAAAGAGUUGCACAUUGAUUGUAGAAGCAGCGCCUUCCACCAAGGAAUCAAGAAAACUUCAAGCACUUAAAGGUGAAUGCAAGAGAAGGGUAUUGUCGAGUUACCAAAUAUCCACGAAGGUGAAUCCAAGAGAUGUUAGUGCCCAAAAGAUGAAAGCGAAUGAAGGGUAAUAAUGUAUCGUUUCCAACAUUUCAAUCCCUAAAGAUUUUUGCACUAACAUAUCCUUUCACAUUCUUUACAGGGUUAUGAGUCACCAUGCUGCAGGUAAGUACCUUUCUUGUCAAUUUUUUUUUAAAAAGAAAAAAAGAAAAAAAAAUAGAGAAUUUCCAUUACAAAAAAGAACCUUUGAUGCUUUCCUAGAGACAAGCACAAAAAUGAAAAAUUGAGAAAAAAAAAUUUCAAAGUUUUGGAAAAUCAUUUUUAUCUCAAAAUUAUUUUCUCGUCUUGUGGAUUAUUCAUUUAAAAUCAAACUUCCCUAUGGAGAUUGAUCUACUCAGAUGAUCUCGAUAGAGUGAGAUUGAGACGUUAACCAUGCCAAACAAAAAGUGCUUAGGAUGAAGAAAGGCAAGCCCAUUUCCAAACACGUCCUUCAAACACUUUUGAGAGUUGAGUGAAAAACGACCCUCUCUUAGAAUGAAUGAUUCAUUCGCAUUGAGUGCAAAGAUCGAAAUGGUAAAGGCAUUUUCUUCAUCAAUCCUAAGCACCGAGCUGACAUUUCGUUACCCUUUUGAGCCGAAUAAAGAUCCUUCAAAGUACACCUGUUGAGAACGACCUUACAUUGGAGCAGCAUAGGAGGUUACAAUCGUGUUGUAGAGCGAAAGAUCGAGAAAGAUUCUAUUACUUUCACUUGCAUCAAUCUUCUGGUGAUAGUUUCAAAGGAAUUCUCAUCAGAGCUUGACUCAUCCCAAGGUGAAGAAGAACAUUUCCUUCUCUACCCAAACACUAAUACCCAUUGCUUUAACCAAUUUGGGCCUGAUUAUUCAUUUCUGAGUCCCGAGUAGUGAUCAUCUCCCUUUACUGGGGCAAGACAUAAAGACUAACCACAUGCAAUUGGCAUUUACGAGAAAACGUGAAAAGCAUCUCAAAAGUCAUAAGAGCUCCAAAAGUUUAAAAAGAGAAUUCGACAAACUAGGGGGCAUGAAAAAAUAGUGUGUUUGAUAAAAGCAAGGCCAAUGCUCGUCAAGAAAAAGAGCCAAAAGGCUGCAUCUUAUAAGAAAAAUGAUCAAAGUCCAAAUGCUUGCGCAAAAAAUUCAUCGCAAUAGCAAAGGACAUUAGAGAAAGGAGCAAAGCUCCCAUGCAUAAAUGAUUAGCCAAGGGACUUUCGAGAUAUGCUGUGUUUCAAAAGCCAAAUGCUUUCGAAAGGUCGAAUGACCCGGUCACAAUGCCAUGAUGAUCAUCGACUCUUAAAAACCCUCUUGAAAAUUUUAAGCCUUUUGAGCCUCUCCCGAGCCAAUGUUACAACCUUCUUCCAAAGUCUAUUCUGAUUGGGAUGGUUUGAGUGAAAAUGAGAAUACCAUAAAGACGCUAUUGCUUGAAGGAGUGGAAGUAAUUCUAUCUUAUCUUAUCUUAUCUUCCAAGUUCUUGACUUGUAAACUUGAUGAAGAUAGCGGCAAAUGAUUCCUUUAUUGGCCUCAGAGCAAUAAUUCAUUUGUGUAAGCCUAUGACCAAACCUAUAUUGCGGUCCUUUCAAAAGACCUUUUUGAUCGAUCAUAUUGUGCUCAUCGCGAAUGUUUCUGAAAGCCUUUGAUCUGGGUUAUGUGAGAUACCCUCAGCAAUCGGUUAUCUCCCACAUGAAUGGAUGGGAUCAAGCAGCCAUUUUAUCGAAACUUUGAGAAGCCCUUUCUGACUAAGAAGCUCUAAUUUAGCAUGCUUAAUGAGCCUUUUUCACGAGUUGUGACCGUCUUGAUAAGAACUUGACUCCUAGAGAAUUUGAUGAUUAAUGAUAUAUCCACAAGCAAGAUGACAAUUUUGCGCCACAUGAUGCUGAUUGAAAUCAAAUGUUUUUCCAAAGCAGUCGAACUUAGCUUGAUUAGAUUGUUCAAUUGAUGCUACAAUAUUGCCAAUACGUCUCUUGAUGAGGUCUCUAAUAACAUUCACUCAAGUUGAGUUUGACAAGAUUCCUCAGUGAAGCCAUGCAGUUUUUAAAGGGUUAGCGGGUGCCUCCUUAAAGACCAAGGGUUCAUGGUCAGCCUUAAACCAUGCUAUCUCCAAAGGUUCAUGGUCAACCUUAAACCAUGCCAUAUCCAAAGGUUCAUAGUCAACCUUAAACCAUGUCACAUUCUUAUGACCCGAUGGGCUUUCUGUAGCCCGAAGUCCUUCAACCCCCUUCUUAUGACCCAGUGUGCUUUCCGUAGCCCGAAGUUCUUCAAUCCCCUUCUUAUGAUCUGGUGGGCUUUUCGUAGCCCGGAGUCCUUCAACGCAAUUCUUAUGACCCGGUGGGCUUUCUAUAGCCUGGAGUCCUUCAACCCCCUUUUUAUGACCCGGUGUGCUUUCUGUAACCCGGAGUCCUUCAACCCCCUUCUUAUGACCCGGUAUGCUUUUUGUAGCCCGGAGUCCUUCAACCCCCUUCUUAUGACCCGGUGGGCUUUCCAUAGCCCGAAGUCCUUCAAUCCAUUUCUUAUGACCUGGUGAGCUUUUUGUAGCUCGGAGUCCUUCAACCCCAUUCUUAUGACCCGGUGGGCUUUCCGUAGCCCGGAGUCCUUUAAUCCUCUUCUUACGACCCGGUGGGCUUUCCGUAGCCCGGAGUCCUUCAAUCCUCUUCUUAUGACCCGGUGGGCUUUCCGUAACCUGGAGUCCUUCAAUCCCCUUCUUAUGACCCGGUGGGUUUUCCGUAACCUGGAGUCCUUCAACCCCCUUCUUAUGACCCGGUGAGCUUUCCGUAACCUAGAGUCCCUCUCAUUCUUCUUAUGACCUGGUGGGCUUCUAUAGCCCGGAGUCUUUCUUCCUCUUAUUAACAAGACGUGUUUUCAUAGUUAUGAGUCAUUUUCAUUAACCUGAUACGUGUACAUGCACCUAGGGUCUCUCUAUCGUCAAAAUAAUUUAGGUGUCUUAUGUCUUUGAUCGCAACCUCUUCGAGGCUACAUUCAAAGAGGGGCAGCUGUUGACACCUAAAUUUCACCUAAAUUAAUUAAUUUAAAGUAGUGUUAAAGGUUAGGAAUUAGUCACAAAAAAGGGUUAUUAUAAAAAAAUUAGUUUUUAAAAAAAAUCAAAAAAAAGGAGAAGAAAAAAAAAAGAAAAGGAAAAAGGGGGCAAUUAGGCCAAGUUCGGACAAGCCUUGAGUAGGCUCAGUCCUCUAUUUCCUUUCCUCUUUACUUCGCACUAGGCCCGACCCAGCCUUUGUUUUUCUUUUUCCCUCAGCCCAGCCCGCGCACGAGUUGGUCGUCUCCCUCCUGCAGUUGGUCUUCGUUGCAAGACCUGCAAAGAAGAACAUAAACAAAACGGCAACAGAGGGAGCAAGGGGAUCUGUGGCAAGCGAGCGGUGUGAUCCACGAGUCGAGGGGGCAAUCCGGCCGGCAAGCUGACCGCUGCAGAGGCCACGCGUGCUGGCCGAGCAUAAAACCAGCAGAGACAGGAGAAAAGAAGGAGAGCUUGAGGGAGAGAGGUGCUCAAGAGUGAGAGCUGGAGUGAGAAAAGUACUUGAGCGAGGGUAAAGAGCCAAAGAGAGGCUCGACCGUGCAUGAAAUCCGGCUCCCCGAUGCCCUUCUUUUGGAACUAUGAGAAUCGAGAGAGCUGAGGAGGAGUUGAGAGGAACCAGAGAGAAAUCGAGAGGGAGAAGAAGUCCGAGCGAGGAAGCGACUAAGGGAGAGCAAGGGAGCUUCAGCCGUCGCUUCAGCUGCGUGCGAGCCUCGCCGGACGACCCCUCGGCCAACGUCCUCAAGUCGAAUCCGGUAGGUCCUCGCGCCCUGUUUUCACCUGGUUCUAUGCAUCUCGGGCUGGAGUUUGUGAUUGACCGGUUUGCGUGAACUUCGGCCCCAUCCACUCCCUCUCUAGUUGUUGUAUGUCUUUUUGUUUGUUGGUGAGAGUCUCGGUUUGGGUUCGGGUCCUGGUUGAGCUAGAAACCGUGUGAUUUGGAAGCGCACUCCACCUGUUCGGUAAAAUGUUUGAAUGAGAUCUAGUCUUGUUUUGUCGUUUUGAAUCGGACUCGAGUUGUUUAGGCACCGUCCCAUCUAGCCAAAGUUAUUAUGUGAUUUUUUAGCAUCUCAGACGUAGCCACACCACUCGACCCACGGCUGCUCUUGUUGUGACGCACGAAGGCCGUGGAUCUCUUUUGUUUUGGGGCACAGGCGGGGGCUCUCGUGGUCAUUGAGUCGCCUCUAGUCGGACGGGUUGAGCAUUAGGCUCGGCUUUGUCAAGGUGGUGCCGUCAUGCCUUAGUUGGACUCAGAAACGCGGCAUCUUGCUACAGCACCACCUCCAUCGUGACUCGUCCGUUGCGAAGCCGCAGGUCGCGAGGUGGGUCAGCGGGCCAAACCCGAUGUUGUCGCUGGACUUUCAUCGUUGAUGCCCCGUGUAGAAUAUCAGUCGGCGACCAAAGAAAUGUUGGUGUUAAGAGUUUUAGUUCGUAGAAAUAAAUUGCAGACGGAGGGAGGCGUUCGGUGAAGAAGAUGUAAAUGAGUAGAACGCACGAAGGGGAAGGAGACCAAAGGGGAAGAGGCAAAAAAAAAAAAAAAACAAAACAAAAAGAUAGAUAUAGAAAAAGUAAAAGAAAAUUAAUAAAACAAAAUAUAGAAAAAGAAAGCAAAAAUUUGCUUCUUCGGAAAGGAAGAAUGCAAAGAAAGGAGUGUAGCACAAAAAGACAAAACCGAAAAGGACAAAAAAAAGAGAGAAAAGAAUAAAAAGAAAAUAAAAAAAUGUGAAAAGUGCGCUAGGGUUUUAUGUUGUGGGCUAGGGUGUUCUAUUGUGGGCUGAGCUUGUGGCAUCCUAAAAUCUCGUGACAACCUCUGGAGUACCAUGAACCAUGAUUAGGUAACAGAAGUGCCGUUUGAUUUUGUAGUAGCCAUUGAGUUAAUGAAUUUCAAUUAAUUUAAGGCCGAGCAUUGUAAAGGAUGAUUGGUUGGGUGGAGAUGUGUCUUCAAGUGACCUAAGGAUUUUAUUAAAAUGCAAAUUGAUAUAGAAAUCUUAUUCUUGGUGGUGCACUUUAUAAGUAGAAUUUUAUUGAUUUAAAUUAUAAAGUUUUGUGGGCUUAUAAGUUGAAAUUAGGUGUUUAUUAAAAUAAGGGUUAAAUGGAAUAGGAAUAGGAGAGGGUGGGCUGAUUUUUAGGCCCAAAGACCGUCCAACCAGCCCACGCCAACCCCUUGGUCGACCGGCCCAUGAAGGCCCAAGACCGGCUCAACAUUGAAGCCCAUCAACUUUGCAUGUGAGUUGCCAAGUGGCAUGGAGGAGGAGCCAAGUGUAGCUGCCCUCAUUGGCUUCCUUGGGUGGCUACAUGCAAUCAAAUGAUUGCAAAUGAUUGUGAGGGAAGAAAGCUAAAGGGAGAGGGGCGGAUGGAUGAAGGGGAAUCGACCGAGAGAGAGAGAGAGAGAGAGAGAGAGAGAGAGAGAGAGAGUGUGUGUGUGUGUGUGUCGUCUGAGAGAGAGGAAGAGGGAAAGAGAGGAAGCGAGUGUGCGAGAGGAAGGAGGAGGAUCAUCCCCUUAGCUCGCCGCCGUCCGUUCGCCGCUUUGCUGCCGUUCUUGUUGCUGUUUGUGCUUGAGUUUAAGGCAAGUGAAGUCCUAAAACCUACCCUUUGCAUUGCUGUGUGUAUGUGUAGUAGAUGGUAAGUCUUGGUUGUGGUAGAUGGGAUGAAAUUUCGGAGCUAUGGAGAGAGAUUCGUUGGUCAUGCAUGCUGUUUCUGGAAAGACCAGUCCGACCAUCCAUGACAUUGUGUGCUGCAUGCGACCUUUUAGUUGGAAUCUUGUUUCUAUUUCUUCAUGAAAGUUGUAGAGAACACCUUGAAGAACAACAUACUAAAAUUUGAGGCAAAACGAACAAGUAUUGGUUAGUGAAAUAAUUUUUUUUUGGAGAAAUUAGAUCUGGAAUUCGUUGUGCUGACCUUUAGAGAUUUCGUGAUCUGUAAAGUUCACUUUGAUCCCUUAAUGAAAGUUUUAGUGUACUUCUUGAGGUAGAACAUAUAAAUUUUUUAGAAGAAAUGAACAAAAAUAGGUCGGUGAAAUCGUUGUCUUUUGUAGAAACUGGAUCUGGAAAAAAUGCUGCUUCGACCUAGUAUGAUUUCGUGAUUUUUGUAAAAUCAUACAGUUAAAAUUUGAUCAUGUGUCCUUAAUGAAAGUUGUAGGUAAUGUUAUGAGGAAUAACAUACUAAACAUUUAGAAGAAAUGAACAUAUGCAGGUUGGUUAAAUGAGUUUCUUUUGAAAGAUGAUAAUCUGGGAAAAGAUGACACCGAGAACAGGGAAAAAUAAUCGUCUAUAUCUAUUAACCUAGAACGAUUUGGGUUUCAAUUUCUUCAAGAGAUAUUUACCUCUAGGACUUGUCUAUAACAUGUUAAAAUUUUAGAAUUUUUGGAGUUCAUUUGGGUAUUUAAUUUAAAUUUCUUCCGAAACUAUGCAAGUUGAAAUAUUGAAGUUUUGAAAACUAUGAUGCAUGGACCGUGCUGUUUUGUGUGAGGUUCUUUUGGUAUGAUGUUAUUCAUGAGAUAUCUGCCUUUAGGUCUCGUCUAUAAUGUAUCAAGUUUUCAGAAUUUAUUAAUUUCAUUUACUAAUUUUUUUGGAGUUUUAAUUAGAGGAAUGCAUUAUGAUUUAUUCGAAAAAUUGAUGUGUUUUGAAAAAUAAAUGAAAUUAUCCAUGUGAUGAAAUACUUUGAGUGGUUGAUUUUGCUGCAUAUGUGAUGGCAUAUGGCAUGUUAUAUGACAUGAACAGUUAGUUGAGACCCUUGGUAUUGUUGCAUCAAAUGCCAUGUUGAAAUUGAGAUACAUGUAUAAAUGUAAAUUGAGAUGGUAACAAGACCGUCAGAGGUGUGAGAUGACAAUGCCUUGGGAGUUUCGAGAUGCUCGGAAUGUAGGGGUGCCAGAAGCCUCGAAAGUGUGUGCUGGGGGGGAUACCUCGUGAUGCCAGUUGGCAUACGAGAUGCCCGGAAUGUGGGGGUGCUGGAUGCCUGGAGGUGUGUGUCGGAGGUUUCUCGUUAUGCCAAGUUGGACAUGAGCUAUAAAUUGUGGGAUGCAAACAUUGGUCCCUAGGAAGAAAUUGAUGUGAUCUAAUUGAAAUAAAAAGAUUGAGAAUUUAAUCAUGCGCAUGGAUGUGUACAUAUGUCAUGGUGGUAUAUGUACAUAUGGCAUGGUGAUAUAUGUAUGAAUACUUGAUGAUGAGUGCAUGGUGGUAUAUGCACAUAUGGCAUGGUGAUAUGCAUGAAUGCUUGAUGAUGAGUACAUGGUGGUAUAUACACAUAUGGCAUGGUGGUAUAUGCAUGAAUGCUUGAUGAUAAAUGCAUGGUGGUAUAUGCACAUAUGGCAUGGUAGUAUAUGCAUGAAUGCUUGAUGAUAAGUGCAUGGUGGUAUAUGCACAUAUGGCAUAGUGAUAUAUGCAUAGCUGCAAAGUAAGUUAUGCUUGGAUGUAUGAAUGAUAUGUGCUUUGUUUAUGAUGCCUUGAUUGUUCUGUUUAACGCACUGAAUAGUUUGGUGGAUCUUUACUGCUGAGUGGUUGUACUUACCCCUUUUGGGGAUUAACAUUUCAGAUUAGAAAGAUGCCUUUGCUGCUGGUUGUACGUGGUGCUUACUAUGACUUACCUACUGAUGUGGAUGUGGAGUGUACUGAGCAUGUCUGUGUCAGUGCUCCUGGUUUAGUUUUUGUUCGAGUCCGUGUUUUGGUGAUGUAAGAUGUGGGUCGAGCUGAUGGCCCAGUUAUUUAGGAGUUUUUAUCUGUCCAUGUCCGACAUGAUGGAGCGAUGUUAGGGAUGUUACCACCGCCACCACCUGAUGCACCGGAUUGGGUAUGAUGGCGCGUAUAGCUAUUGGGAGCUGACACUUUUUGGAGAUAGCCGACGCUCGUUGAUGGAGGGUGGUACAUGUUCGAUGUAGAAUCGAGUCCUUUUUGGGGUGAUAGCCGAGUAUAAUUAAAAUCUUGGUUUUUUUGUUGUAUCGACCUUGAUGUCCAUCAUGAAAAUAUAAAUAAGAGUGAAUCGGCAUUAUCUUUUCUUAUGGUGCGUAGUUGGUGUGUAUUGCAUUAUGGUUAUUGGAGGGAGAGAUGGUGAGACUUGUUUAUGCUUUCGCUAAUAAGCUGAGCUGGGACUGUUUAAAAAAAAAAAAAAUCUCUAGUCAUAGUUAUAUGAAAUUGAGUAAUUAAAGAGAGAGUGCCUGUGGCGACCUCAGGCGAGUCAAGGGUGCCAUAGGGCUCAUUUCGAAUGUGGGCCAGAAAAAGAGUUAAAAAAUUCAUGGGCUUUUAUAAUUAAUUCCAAGCGACCUUUUAGGGUUAAUGUUUUUAGUUUAACGCGAUACAAUAUUGUUCAGGUAUGUUUAGUUGGGUCAGGUCUCAUGACCCGGUUUGCCCCUUUUUAAAUUAAAAAUUAUUAUUUUUUAAAAUAAAAAAGUAAUUAUUUAAACAAAUAAAAAAUAAAAAAGUAAUUAUUUAAAAAAAUUAAAAAAUUAAAAACAGAAAAAAAUUAAAAAAAAUUAAAAAUUUUCGAAAAUUUAAAAAUGAUGGAGUUUGGUUAGGAUUUGCCAUAUAUUUCCUUUUAGUGUAAUUAGACCUUUAUUUACUCGUGUAUUAAUUAUAUUGCAUGUUUAAUUAUGUUUGAUUGCAUGUGUUUAAUUUUAUUGCAAUUAGGAUCUUGGUAGUUAUGAUUAUUACUUUAAUGAUUGCGCACCAUAUGAUCACCUCACAUAUUAGUGGAUAAGUAUAAAAUCAAUCCAAAUUGCCUGACAAAAAUCAUUUCUUUUCAAAUGAACAAGAUUAGGUACCGAAAGGGCACUAAUUAGUCAAUUAGUGUAAUCAAGUCCCCGAUCCCAGAUUCUCUGGUUGUGUAGGAAGUGAGACACGCUCCCAUGCUCCAUUUGGUUUCUAGCCGAUCCCAAUAGGCUAGUGGCGACUCCUUUUGUGAAAAAUUCCUAGAAAAUAUCUAAAUGUCACGCGGGGUAUGGGCUUGGGAGAACCCGCACCUAAUCAUGGGCCUUAGGUCCGUCCUUUAGGUAUUUACCCCUAAACCUGUUCCCUCCCCCGAGGGUAGGUCACAACAUUGGGCUAACCCCCUCCAGGUACUGACGCCUAAAUAGUGGUUUGCAGUGAGACUUGCUAGUGCCACUGGGCACUGGCGGGUUGUGUGAACCCGAAUAUUGUUCGUAAAAUUCUAAACGUAAGUGAACGUGUCGAAUGGGUAAUAUAAUGAUAAGAAAAAGUAUUGUCCCACGGAGAUUGAUGAUUAAUAAACUAAUUAAAUACUAAAAUAGAUUAAUUCUAAAAUUUAUCUAACAUAUCAAAAUAUAAUUUAGAAUAAAUUAAAAAAACAAAAUUUGGAGACUAAAUGCAAUAAAUCAAUAAGAUAAAUGGAGAGGCUCAUUGCAUUAGAAGACUCAUGUAGCUGGUCUAUUGUUGCUCCUGAAUUAAGUUAGAAAUCCUUCGAAAAGGCUUGAGUUAACGCUCUUUCUUUGUGUUUUUUUUUUUCCACAUAUGCAGUUGUUUUAUGCUAUAUUCACCGUGUACAGAUGCCUUAUUCGGUCAAAUUGAUCUUUUUUGAUACACAAGAUUAAGAUAUCUAAUCUCAUCUUUUUGUAAAAAGACGUUGAAUAUACUUUCGCUACUCCUCGCAUCAUCUGCAACUUCUGUAUCACUAAUACAAAAAUAAAUCUCUCCCGCUUUAAAUUCUUCAAUGUGUCCUACUUCUAUAUGCAUAUGAUAUCCUAGCACCACUCAUUAUAUAUGACUGCUAGGACGAUGUAUUGGUCAGCAUGCAACGAGUACAAUAAAUCUAAAUUCAACUCCUACCUAACGUGAACAUGACAAAAGUGGACGGGGUAGGUUAUUUGAAUGAAUCUUCUUACGGCAAAAACAUUUUAGAAAACAUCCUGUUAAUACUUAAUAUCAGAAAUCAAUAAAAAGUGUUCAUUGUUUUUCGAAAAUUUUUGACAUGCUUGCUGAAAACUAAUAAGGUUACAGUGUGUAAUAUUGUGACAGUGUCAACGUUCUACGCAUAUUGCAAACCCCAUAUAAUUUACAGAUGUUCAGAGAUGUUGCAGUCGUCAUUGGCUUUUGAGAGUAAAUUAAAAAUAAAGCAUAUGAACGAAAACAUGUCUUUUUUCUUCUUGUUGUUCAAAAUCAAAUACUCGUAUUAAUGUACUUUAUAAAUUUAUAAUCACCAACUAAAAUAAUCUAAGCUAACCAUGUUAGGUCGGCAAGUCUAUCCGACACUGGCCUUAAAUCUUCUGCAACUAAGAUCUCCAUCUCAACCAGCAAAGACUAAAAAUGCUGAAGUUUGUAGGCAUGACUUUCUCUAGUGCAUGACAAUCAAGUAUCUUUCAGUGGUGACGUUAGAUACAGGGGCUUCUUGCGUGAGAAGAUUCAUUGCUGGAUCCAUUAUUGGUCUGGAAAUGAAAAUUAUCUAAAAAGUUUGAAACUUAUUGAACUUUUAUCAAAUCAAUCCUAAACAUUUCAAUAUUGCCAAUUCAAUCUUAAAUAUUUUCACAUUUUGCCAAUUGAAUUCAUUCGACCAAUUUUAGCCGAAAUUCGCUGGCAUGGAUAUUGGCUAUCUUAUGUCACAUUACUGGUAUUGAUGUAGACAAUUUUUAAUGACAUUUUAAUAUUUUUCUAUUUUUUUCUGAUUUUUUUCUUUUUUGCCUUUCUUCUUCUUUUGCCGAUGGCCAACCACCAACCACAAGUGAUGGUUGGGUGGGUUGGCCUUGCCUAUGCUAGGCAGUAGGUGACACACGACCUUGGCCUGGGUGAGGGUCGACCUCCCCAGAUCUGGCUUGGCCAAAGUCGACCCUCGCCGAUCUCCCCUGAGUGAGGGUAACCUCGCUCGCCCAGCCUCGCAUGUGGCAAGUGAGGUCAGCUAGCCCAGCCACUUGCAAAAGAAAGAUGAAAGAGAAACAAGAAUUAAAUAAUAAAAAAAUUAAAAAUAUUAAAAUAUUAUUAAAUUUUGUCCAUAUUAACACCAGUUAUGCUAUGUGAUAAAAUAAACUCAAUUGGUAAAAAGUAAAAAAGUUAUGAUUGAAUUGAGAAAAUUGAAAGAUUUAUAAUAUAAUUGACAAAAGUGUAAUAGAUUUAUGACUUUUUUUUGACACUUUUCUCCUAUAGAAUAAUGUUAAAAAUCCAAAAAGGAUUUAGCUAACUCCUUGUUUAAGCAUAUACAGGCCGUAACUAGACACUGACGCAUUGCGAUCACAUGAUCGAAACUGGAAAGCCCAUGCUAAAAAAAGUCAAGGAAGCAUUACUUAUCAAUAAAAGUAGUAUUAUCAUGGUGAAAAAGGAGAUCCACAUUAACAAAAUUGGGACCGAUCCAGGUGCGUGCACGUGAGUUUUACUGCGUGAACUUGUACAUUCGUAAUUAUCAUGGACGAAACUCAUUGAUGGCGAGGUUGGUAAAUUUUAUAAAAAAAAAAAAAAAAAGGGGUUCAAACGAACUACACGGUUUUAUCAAAGCACUCGACAGAGCCGAAAACAAGAUGAGCAAUUGAAAAGAAAUGACUUCUUCAGCAUGCUUUGUAGCCACUGGUAGGGGUAUUCAUCAAAAAUUUGAAAAUCGAUAAAACGAGCCUAGGCAAACCAAGAUCAUAACAAUUUAGCGAUUUGAUUCUUCUUUAGGAUUUUUUUUUUUUGUUAUUUGUUUGGUUUUGGUCUAUAAUUCUGGAAACUGAUAAAAUCGAACUAAACUGAAAAAUUUAAUAAUUAAUUAUUAGCCUUCUUACUAAUAAAAUUUGUUAUUAAACCUAACCAAAUAAGUUCGUUUCUAAGAUUGUUCUAAACUAUUAAAUGCAAGAUUCUACUUCUUAAAUUGGCCAUAAUUGACUGGUUCUAAUCUCAAAUAAUACCUGCUAUAGAGCUUUUCGUGAUCUUUUGAGAACUUUUUUUUUAAUUAAACAAUAUCUUUCAAUGCUAUCGACAGUUGGCUUGAUUGAAUUGUGACCAUAUUUCUUUUUUCCAAGAACGAGUAAAAUUAAGUGCUCAUAUUGUUUAUUUCAUUGCAGGCUUAGACAGCCCAAGUAUGUAUUAAAAUUCUUAUUUGGAAAUUGGCUUGAUGGUAACAGUGUGACAGGGAACCAACUCGAUAACAAACCAAAGUUAUUGGUUUGAGUCGAGUCGUAAUCUUAUGUAUUUUUAGUGUGGGUUCGGCUUUGGGUUUGGGUUGUGAUUUUUCCAAAACUGAACUUAGUUGAGAAUACCUCCAAGCCAAACUAAUGAUACCCUUACUUGCUCGUGGGGGCGGCUUGACCCUAUCUGGUGACUAGCAAGAUGGUUGUGUAACCCAGGCUGGAGGCCGAUGCGGGUUUAACCUCCUUCGGCCUCUGGGGAGAGCCACGCUAAAAGUUCCUCUAGGCAUUCGUAACAUGUGAACUCACCUCAUUUUGGCCUACGCUGUAAGGGGACUCUUAGAGUCUAUUUGGUAAUUGACUAACUUUUGGCUAUUUCAGUUAUUUUGUUUCCUCAAUAUAUAUAUAUAUAUAUAUAUAUAUAUAUAUAUAUAUAUGUUUGGUAAUAUCAGCUAAUUUUUAUACUCUAGGGAAUAUAUUUGGAACAAAAUCAAGAAGUAAAAAUAAGUUAUUUAUUUAUUCCCAAGGACAAUUACAGAAUCAAGCCAUUUUCUUUCUUUCUUUUUUCUUUUCUUUUCUUCUUCUUCCUCUUCUAAUUGGGUCGUUGGGGUCGGCUAUAGCUAAUGACUAGCCAUAAACAAGGUUCAACGACCUCACUAGAGCUUUCUUGUGGUUGGGUGAGGCUCGACCUCACCAAGUUGGUGAGGCUUCCCCAACAGCUGGCAACCAACCAAAGAAGGAAAAAAAGGAAAAGAAAAGAGAAAAAAGAAAAGAAAAAUCUCAUAAAAUUAUUUGAAAAUUAAAAAAAAAAUUGUAAGUCACAAAAAAAUUUGAAGGUUGUAUCAAACGCGUUCCUGUUCUUUUUUUAUUCUAGGAAUAACAGUUAUCAAAUGCUUUCAAACGUUUAUAAAUUUGUCCAAUGAACAGAACCAACAAAAAUAUACAUAUAUAUUUUUGAAUAGUAAUUAUUCUUAGGAACAAAAGUGUUACCAAAUAGGCCUUUACUAGCAAAUUAUUGCUUUUGGAAGAAUGCAUGCACUAAAGAGACCGCACAUGCUUAGUUUUUGUAUGUUAUUUAUGUUGCAAUUGGUGACACGGUGGAAGUGGACCAUAACUUUGCAUUUAUAUUGGAAGCUAUAGAAAUUGAUAGAAAAAAAUGAGGAACAAUAAAAUGAUAUAAGAAAUUUACGUGAUUCGAUCUGAAUGUUGGAACUUAUGUCAAUGGACGAGUCAGCAAAUAAUUCACUAAUAAAUUGGAGAAUUGCAGUGUUACAAACACUCACAUACUUGACUAUUUCCUAGCCCUAGUAUAUAUAUCCAAUACCUACAAUGUUUAACAACUCAACUUGAUAUACCUAACUCAUGCAUAGAUCGAUCAGAGCCUCCGCCUCUCUAUCCUUUGAGUUCUCAAUUUUCUCUCUUCACGGCCUUUUUUUCAAAGGUCCUCUCCUUUUGUAGGAGGAAGAGGAGCAAACAAGACACAAAUCGGGGCUUGUCAAUGUGAGGACGGUACCCACAAAGGAUGACAAUAGAGAAGAUGACAUUCGACGCCCACCAAUUCUAUGGGCAUGCAUGUCCUAGGAAGCAUCAACACUAUCCGAAGCUUUCGUGUCAUGUCAAACAUUUCGACGCUUUUCAAUACUCUUCAAUACUCUGUCAUCAGGUGUCAGAAAUCAACUCUCCCAACAUGUGAGUCUGAAAUUCCAACAUACAAGUUCGGAAUUCCAACAUGUGAUUCCAAUAGGCAUCGGAUCAAUUUUAAAAAAUUUCAAUAAAUGAUGGGUCAAAAUGUAAAUAUGUAAAAGAUAAAAAUAAUAAAUGGAAAAAGAAAUAAUAAAAAAAAACUUAGUUUUCUAUUCUUUUUUUACUCUCACUUCUCAUGACACACAAUUUACCCUCGAAGUUUUUUUUUUCUUUUUUCUUCCGACAAGUUUUGACAUGCAAGUCCAGAAUGUGGAUUAAUUUUUUUUUCCCUCCAAGUUUUAUGGAUUAUUGGAAUGAAGUUAAAUUUAUCAAAUUGAAACAAUAAAUGAUAUUAAAAAAUGAUGGAUUAAUGUUUUUCGUGUAAAUUCAUUCUGAACUCUUUUUAAAUAAUUUAUUUAUGAAUUUGAAUCAAAUUACUUUGAUUAAAAUAAUCAUAAAAAUAAUAAUUUAUUAAAUGUAUAUAAAAAUAUACACUUAAUAUAAUGUGUCAUAACUUGUUGAAAUUCUCUAUUUUAAAAAAAAUAAUAUAUUGACGUAUCGUGUCACAUGUUAUGUAUUAGUGCUCAUGUCAUGUGCAUGCAUCAAAGAGGGAGAAGAAAAAUGAAUGGGCGAGUCAUGCUCACAUUUAAUGAAGAGGGGUGCCCCCAGAUAAAGCAUUUAAUGAAUGAUGUCCCACUUUUUUUUCUUCCAUGAUGCACGUUUCCUUCAUCUACUUUUCAAAGAAGUAGACAAAAAUUUACUUGAUCAUUCUUGUGCGGCUCUCUUCCUGUUGUGCUUGCAUUAAAAAUUGCUUAGGGCAUGGUAACGAACAGGUUAAUCUGGAGAUAUAAUUUAACAAUUUAUUUGAUGAGUAGUUUUUUCUUUUAUUAUUAAAUUUUUAUCUUCUCGGAACUUGGAAACACAACAAAACAAAAAUCUUUUUUUUAUUUUAUCCAAAACACACAUAUCAGUUGUCUAGCAAUUCAAUCUAGACAAGACCAUACACCACAUGGCUUCACACCACAAAAAGAAAAAGAUGGAAAGCUGCUUGUUAUCGGCCAACUAAGUGUUGGCCAAAUAACAUCAGCAAAAGCCAGUAGUACAACAUAACUGAUGCCCAGAAACACAACAUAACCGAAGAGAACCUGUUGUAUAUAAGACAAGGCCCUCCAGGAAGAUAUGAGGAAGGAGACCCGACUAUUGUUACUUUGGAAAAACAUAGUGGAAAGUAUAACUAUUAAUAGUUAUAAUCCAUCUCCUAUUUACCCUCAAGUGGUUAGUCCAUUUGGAUGGGGAGCUGAGCUGUGCUAUGAAAAAACGAAGCUGAUAGCUAAUUUUCACCAUCGACGCUCUUUAAAGAUACCUCGUGACUCGUCUGCUGUUAAAUGCUAUAAGGUUGAGAGAGCUUGGCCUCAAAAGGACAACUUAACACAUGCAUAGAAAAUGAGGAUGCGAAGAAAGAAGAAGAUGUAUUUGCUUCAAAAGCAGCUUGACCAAGUUCGCAUUAUUCGGGUUAAAGUGAUAAUGGCAAAGUUUGGUCAAAAUAGAAAUCACUGAAGGACAUUGAUAAAUUCACCAAUGAAGUCAUACAGUAGACUUCAUAAGUUAUUGACAAGAGCAUUCAUCUGUUGACAAGAUCAUUGACUCCAGCAUGUUAUAGUGAAUGCAGUGGAGUUAAUGUAACCAUCAAGAUAGUGGGGUUUGACCAUCAAGUAAUGGAAUCGACAAUUUCAAAUGCAACCUUCAAGGAAAUUGAUGUAGGAGCAUUAGAGUCCGCCAAUCAAUUGGCAAAUUCAACUCAAACCUUGUCGAUUAAUCCAGCUCAAUCAUUACAUUUGGAAGUAAAAGUCCAAUUUCAACUUAAUUUGAUUCAAUGGGUUCAAGUUGAAGAUGUCGAUUAUGCAAAAGAGUUGUCAUGGCUACCAAUUGACUACUUUGUUGUCGAUUUGCAAGAUUCUCAAUUGACUUCCUGAUCAAUGGAGGCUGUUCUAUUGAUUCCUAUUGCCGUUUGAUAACUUUCUAUGGUGACUGUUCAGCUUCCAAGACUAAACGAAUUUAGAGGGUCUUAUCAAAUUUCAAUGCAUAUUAUGCUAGCUAAAUGCAUUUAGUCCUAAUUAUCGAGUCUUUUAAUUCACAGCUUUGAGAAAGCUAAGGGAUAUUCAGUCGCGAUCUCCCCAAAAUUGGUUUCUUUUAGGCUCCUCCAACCUUUCUUCUCUCUCCAGAUCAUGAGAGUUCAUCAGUCUUCUUCGCCAAUCCUACUUGGAACCCAAGAAGCCAAGAGCCAGGCUGAAUGAGAUCUGAUUCACCCGUGGAAUCCCUUGCCUGACCCCGAUCCCAAGCAUAAGCCGCCACACCCCGCCCACACCCCGCCCCCACCCCACCCCCUCCCCCCGGGGGCCGCGAUAAGAUGCCAUAGCCCAAGCUCGAUCCCAACUACGUCGCCCCUCCUCCUCCGUCCCCAGUGAGGCCCCGUGAGCUCGGAUCUCCGGCAGCACCACCACCUCCAUGCCCGUGGAGUCGAAUCCUUACAUCGCUUCCACUCUUGCUAUGCAAAUAAUCUAUCAAUAGUAAGUGCACCGAUUCAGCAAAUGGUUGCCUUCUAUGGAUUCUUCGGAUUCGAUACUGAGGAGACCAUGGAUUGCUUUUUGGUUCUUUUGUUUGUUUACUGACAUGUAAAUCCUGUUAUUACGUGCAUAUACGAUGGAUUCGGUGAAGGACGUGCUCAGGAGAUAGGGAAAGAGUAAUUUCGAAAAGUUUUUUCUUUCCACGACCACUCACAUACCUACUCAUAACACUAGCAUCAUGCAAAAUAAUUAGCCUAGUGCAAACCCUAGCCCACAUAACACUGCCAGCGGCACUGACGUAGGAAACAAGGGACAUAUACUACCUCUCAUCCUAGACUUAGAUAAUCCAAGUACGUAUUAAGUUCUUAUUGGUAAAUUGGCCUGUUGGUAAUAGUCUAAAUUCGGACCACACUGAUAACGAACGGAAGUUAUUGGUUUGACUUGAGUUGUAAUUUAUCAGUAUGUUUUGGCUUUUGUCACGACCCAAUCUUGUUAGAGAAAACUUCCUUGAAGUGUUUUGAAGUUGACAAAACGUUUCCAUCAGUCUAGUCUUAAGACUUGCAGACUCUUUCAUCAAAAUCUAAAGACUCCGGACUGCCAGACUCAAGACUCAAAGUCUAUCCUCAUUGACAGCUUCUAGACCAUCGAAGAAGGGUUAUCCAAAACUGAAUGUUUCAUUAAGGAUUUGACUUUAUCAACUGUAGAAGCUCUCUUGACUGGAUAUAGCAUGUCAGAAUCCAUUAUUCAAAUCAAGAUUGAUUCAGGGAUUUUGGACUUGUUGAUUGGCGAAGUAUACUUGGAAAGUUCUACUUAUGGAAACCUAGAUCCUGAUUGUAUGGGCGAGCAGGAUUGAUGGGCUAUCGUCAUGUUCCUUAAAUAGCUCGAAGAUCUUCCUAAUUGAUUCUGUCCAACGGGUAGAUUGGAAGAAUUCAUUUGGUAAGUGCCAACGGGUGUGAUGGCAUAAAUGAGUAUAUAAGGAAGACGAUCCAGUUGUUCGAAUGUGUGCGCGAUAGAAGAAUUCCAAAGUCUGAAGCUCUUGUUCUUUGUCAUUUAAACUGUUAAGUGAAAUCCUUGUACGCAAAAGAGAGUCUAUAUCUUUGAGAGACCUUGAGGCAGUGUAGUAGAGUCUCUACACUGUGGAAUCAAGGAAGAGCUUUUCUGUAACUGACUUUUUUGUUCAUAAUGAAAUCCAGCCGGUGGGCCUGUUAGUGUGGAAGAGUGGACUUAGGCUUGGAUUAAGCUAAACCACUAUAAUCUCUGUGUUCAUAUUCUCUUUUCUACGCUUUUUUACUUAGAUCGUAACUCGUUUUGUUUACAAGAGACGAAUUUCUUUUUCAUAAUCUAUUGUUGAUUAGUGCUGCACACUUAUCUCGUAAAAUAGUUUUUACACCUAUUCACCCCCCUCUAGGUGCUCAUUCUAGCUUUCACAAUUGGUAUCAAAGCCUGUGUACUCACUUAAGUUGAAGUGUUUUACUUCAGAGUUAAAAAUCCAUGGCUAGUAUGUUGGCUCCAGGACUGGUUGAAGGGCAAAGCAAUACCAGACCGCCUUAUUUUGAUGGAAAGGAAUACAACAUAUGGAAAAACAAGAUGAAGACAUUUCUAAGAUUAAAGGAUCUUUUGGAAUGGGAUGUGGUAGACAAAGGAAUCAUUCCUAAAUCUGCACCUGUCUCAGAAAGAGGAAAAGAAGCCGUUGAGUCUAGCGAAAUGACUCAAGAAGAGAUAACAAAGAGACAAGCUCUUGAUGCAAAAGCAAUUUAUUUUUUAUAUUGUGCAUUAUCACCUACUGAAUAUAACAGAAUAUCUUCUUGUGUUAUAGCUAAAGAAGUCUGUGAUAGAUUACAUAUCACCUAUGAAGGAACUGAUCAAGUGAAAGAAACCAGAAUCAACAUUCUGCUCGGUCAAUACGAAGCAUUCAAAAUGAAAUCAGGAGAAUCUAUCACUGACAUGUUUAAUCGUUUUACAGAAAUCGUGAAUGGCAUUGAAAAUCAAGGUCAACCAAUUUCUGAUCCCAUGAAAGUAAACAAGCUACUGCGUGGACUCUCCAAGGAUUGGAAUCACAUAAAGACCUCAAUAAGGGAGACACAAAGAAUUAUGCCACUUUCUGUCGAUGAAUUGGUUGGGACUUUUCAGUCUUAUGAAGUGGAGCGAAUCAAUGAAGAUGAAGAUCCUAAAUGUAAGAAAUCCAUUGAAUUAAAAUCUAAUGAUAAUUAUGAUGUCACAGAUUCUGAAAACGAUAUGGAUGUUGAGGAGCUUGCUCUUAUGAUAAGAAGAUUCAGAAAGCUAAACAGAAAGGGGAGAAGAUUCAAUCCAAAGAAACAAAGUUUUCAAAAGCAACAGACCAAGUCUGUUGAGGAUGAUGAAUCCAAUAGAGAUGUAGUCUGUUUUGAAUGUAAGAAGAAGGGACACAUUAGACCCAACUAUCCUCUUCUGAGGAAAAAGAAAGGAAAAGCUGAGAAAUAUCGAAAGGCACUCAAAGUAAAAACUUGAAGUGAUACAGAAUGUGAAGAAAGUAAUGAUGAUUAUGCCAAUAUUUGUCUUAUGGCACAAUCAGACUCAGAUUCAAAUUCCGAGACAGACUCAGAUUCAGACAGUGAAUUCGAGAUCACUAUCAAGAAAAAGAUUAAAUGGUACCUGGAUAGUGGAUGCUCAAGGCAUAUGACAGGAGAUUCAAAUUGCUUCAUAAAGCUUGUUCAAGUUAAUGGUGGAAAAGUUUCAUUUGGAGGAAACGGCAAAGGAAGAAUUGUGGGAUACGGAACUGUAAAGAUUGGAAGCCUCACGAUCAGUAAUAUUUCCUUAGUGGAAGGACUCAACUACAAUUUGGUAAGUAUCAAUCAGCUGUGUGACACCGGUUUCAAAAUUAAUUUUCAAGUGGGAAUAUGUUCAGGAACUAGUAAAGACUCCUCUAAGUUUUUCACCAGUCAAAGACAAGGAAAUAUCUACCUCUUGGAUGUCAAACUAGAUGAAACCCAAUGUCUAAUCUCAAUUCAAGAAGAAGCAAACUUAUGGCACAGAAAACUUGGGCACAUCAACAUGAAGCAAAUAGCCAAAAUUUCAGCAAAGAAGCGUGUUCUUGGUCUACCCAAUCUGUCAUACCAAAAGUCUGAUCUAUGCACAUCAUGUGUAUUGGGAAACUAGAACUCAGAGCAUUGGAGGUAAGAAAUAUUGUUUAGUGAUUGUGGAUGAUUAUUCACGAUUCACUUGGGUAUAUUUCCUGGCAAGUAUGUCUGAAACCUUUUCUUAUUUUAUAAAGUUUGCUAAAAAGGUCCAAAAUAAGAAAUGGUAUGUUAUUUCGAGUAUACGAACAGACCAUGGAGGUGAAUUUGAAAAUCAAGACUUUACAAAAUUCUGUGAUGAAUCUGGUUUUCAGCAUGUGUUCUCUUCUCCAUAUACUCCAGAGCAAAAUGGAGUCGUGGAAAGAAAAAAUAGAUCGCUUCAAGAAAUGGCUAGAACUCUUUUAAUUGAAAGUAAGAUCUCUUUACGUUUUUGGGCUGAAGCAGUUUCUACAGCAUGUUAUAUUAUUAAUAGAGUCUUUCUAAGGCCUAUUCUGGAGAAAAAUCCCUACGAGUUAUUUAAAGGAAAGAAGCUCAUUGUUUCGUAUUUUCAUGUAUUUGGAUGUAAAUGUUUUAUAUUGAAAAAUGCAAAUGAUCGAAUUGGUAAGUUUGAAGAAAAAUCAGAUGAAGGUAUUUUCCUUGGAUAUUCUAUCACAAGCAAAGCUUACAGAGUUUACAACAAGAAGACUCAAUCUGUGGAGGAAUCAAUGAACAUCAAAUUUCAAGAAUUUAUGCAAAAUCAAUCGAUUCAUACUCAUCUUGAAGAAUCCGAACCUACUUCAGACUCUACAAAGUCUAAAUCUCCAGAAGCAACUCAACCUUCAAAAGACGAGCAACAAAUGAUCAACGGAGAUUCAAAUGAGGAAAAAGAUCAACAGUCUGACAAAUCAACUAGCAACUGGAAGCAUAAGUCAAGUCAUCCCAAAGACGUGAAGAGAUGUUACUUUCAAUUAAAAGAGUUCUAGCCAUUUCUUGAAGCGAUCUAUUCUUUCUUUCCGCGACUCCAUUUUGCUCUGGAGUAUAUGGAGAAGUGAACACAUGCUGAAAACCAGAUUCAUCAUAGAAUUUUGUAAAGUCUUGAUUUUCAAAUUCACCUCUAGAUCAACAGUCUGACAAAUUAACCAGCAGCUCAACCUUCAUUAAUAUUGGUGAUAUUAAUGAAGGAAUUUGCACAAGAUCCAAAAGGCACGAAGAGUCUAGUGCUGUGGCUCUUAUUUAUGAAAUAGAACCCAAGAGCAUAGAAAAAGCUUUAACUGAUGAAAGCUGGAUUGAAGUUAUGCAAGAAGAACUCAAGCAAUUCAUCAUUAAUGAUGUCUGGGAAUUGACUUCUAAACCGAAAGGUAAGUCUAUCAUUGGAGCUAAAUGGGUUUUCAGGAACAAGAUGAACAAGAAAGGAAAUGUCAUAAGAAACAAAGCAAGACUCGUGGCCAAGGGAUAUACACAAGAAGGAGGGAUAGACUAUGAUGAGACUUACGCACUAGUAGCAAGGUUAAAAGCAAUUAGAUUAUUACUUGCUUUUGCUUGUCAUGAGAAUUUCAAGUUAUUUCAAAUGGACGUCAAAAGUGCUUUCCUAAAUGGAUUUAUCCAAGACGAAGUCUAUGUGGAACAACCACCUGGUUUUGAAGACCCAAGAAAACCAAACUCUGUAUUCAGACUGAAAAAGGCUUUAUAUGGUUUAAAGCAAGCACCUCGAGCUUGGUAUGACAGACUAAGUAAGUUUUUAAUUCAUAACGGUUUUGUCAAAGGUAAAGUAGAUACUACAUUGUUUAUCAAAAGAGAAAACAAAAUUUUUCUACUCGUUCAAAUUUAUGCUGAUAAUAUUAUUUUUGGAUCUUCUAAUGAAAAUCUGUGCAAGAAAUUUUCUAUGUCUAUGUAGGAUGAGUUUGAAAUGAGCAUGAUGGGUGAGGUAACCUUUUUUCUCGAGCUUCAAAUGAAACAAUUGAAGGAAUGAAUCUUUAUUCAUCAAGAAAAAUAUGCUAAAGAACUUGUCAAAAAGUUUGGACUAGAAAAUUGCAAAAAGACUGAUAUACCAAUGUCAAGUUCUUUGAAGAUGGAAAAUGAUGAAGAAGGAAAGAAAGUUGACCAUAAGCUAUACAGGAGUAUCAUUGGUUCACUUCUUUAUCUAAUUGCUUCCAGACCUGACAUUUUAUUUAGUGUUUGUAUUUGUGCCAGAUUUCAAUCAGACUCUAAAGAAUCUCAUUUAAGUGCUGCAAAGCGUGUCAUCAAAUACAUUACCUCAACUUCAAAUUUGGGUCUCCGGUAUCCUAAAGAAGGAGACUUUACUCUUCUUGGAUACUCAGCCGCAGACCUAGCCAGAUGCAGAGUUGAUAGAAAGAGCACCUCGGGCACCUGUCAACUACUUGGAAGCAGGACAAUAUCUUGGUUUUCAAGGAAGCAAAGUACAGUAGCUCUUUCUACAGCAGAAGCAGAGUAUGUAGCUCUUGGAAGUUGUUGUUCACAAAUUCUGUGGAUAAAACAACAGUUAAGAGACUUUGGAAUUAAAGAUUCAUGCACUCAAAUCAAAUAUGACAACACCAGCGCAAUCAAUCUCACCAAGAAUCCGAUUCUUCACUCAAGAGCAAAAUAUAUAGAGAUUCGACAUCAUUUCAUUAGAGAUCAUGUUCAAAAUGGAGAAGUUUCAAUUCAGUUUAUUGACUCAAAGAAUCAACUAGCGGAUAUAUUUACGAAGCCUUUGGAGAAAAAUCAAUUUGAAGUUAUUUGUUCCAGACUAAAUAUCUUAAAGUCUGAAGAAGUUCAGACUCAGGACUGAAAGUUUAAAGGUACUCAGACUCAAACAAUCAAGAUCUACUACUGUAAGUUAUUUCUAUUUUAGAAACUUAUUUGUCUGAUCAAAUCUUGAAAAGGUACGAUCAUCCAUCCAAAAUUAAUUGGUGUAAUUUUCCAAAUUUUUCGUGAUUAGUGCAAUCCUUCCUUUUUGAAAAAGAAGUUAUUUUUUAAAUGACAGUUAUUUAAUUUUUGAAAAUGCAGUUAUUUUUUAUUUCCUUUUUAUGACAUUCCGUAUGCCUUGCUUCGACUGCCUUAUAUACUAUCGGUUCUUCUUCGUUUUACUCACAAAAACCCUAAGAGAAGCACCAAUCUUCCACUUCUGUCUUCUUCUCUUGUUUAAUCCUCAAAAAAGUUUUCAUCUUUCUUGGGAAAUAAGCUUGGAAUCUCUCAAAAACUGUGAAAGAUGUCGUCUCAAAUAAAGUCUUCGAGGAUUGUGAACAGGGGACCACAGCAAAUGCGUGAGGGGCCUACGCACUUUGAUCUCACCGAGGAAGAAGAAUCUCCUAGACAGCAGCAGAGCCCACAACAUUCUCAGCAGCGUCCAUCUCCUCCAUCUAGACCUCAGGAUGUUGCACAUCAAGAAGAGGAAGAAAUCAUAGAAGAUGCAAAACCCGUAAGAACUCUUAAGCCCGCUUUUACCUACAAGCUUUAUUGUGCUUUGAAAAGGAGUGGUACUCCGUUGAACUACAUUGAUGAAUUUCUUAAAGACAAAGGGUAUAGAAAUGAAACUUUCUUUUUACGCACAUUGGAACGAUUGGGAAUUGCCCAUGCUGGGUUGGUGGAAGAGGCAUUGGAAAAUACCCCAAGCGAUCCACGUGUUGGAGGGCUGAGUCAACCAGAUGGGAAUGACGAUGAUAGGAUGUACAAUCAGUUUAAACCUAAAAUGGGUGUUGCAGCAAAAAUCCGAAGCAAUAGGACGGAUUUAUUUCGAUCGGAGGAACACAAGCAACUGUACUCUAAGUUGCUGAAGUGUGGGGUGAUAAACCCUAGAAGUGUGGACUUUGAUUUUCUUGACUUUGUGAAUGUCAAUCUGCAAGAAAAAUUCAGUCUUCUUCAACUCGAACAAUUUUGUUAUGAAACUACAGAAGCUCAUGCUGAACUUACUGCUUAUUUCUAUUCGAAUCUUAGUUUCUUGGAUGCAAAUAGGUUUUCUUUUAGUGUUCGAGAUCAGGACUAUGUGGUUGACAUGAAUACAUUGGCUAAUGUGAUUGGGGUUGAAAUAGGGAAAUAUCAACCUAUCAGUGUGUCUAUUGCUCGUGCAACGUUACAGCUUCUUAAGAAUAGAAGAACGGAAAGAAAGAUUUCCUAUUUGAGGUUGAAUGUGUCCAACAUUUUGCUUCACAAGAUUGUGAUUAACUGCCUCAGACCAAAAUCUACUUCAAAAUUUGACAUUUCAAACUCGGAGGCAAAGCUGAUGUAUGCCAUCAAUGCUGAAAUAAAGUUAUCUCUUCCACACACUAUUAUGUUACACAUGUAUAGAGUAGUGGUGAAGGACAAAUGUCAACUUCCUUACCCAGCUCCUGUGACCAAGUUAUUCAGACAUUUGAAUGUUCAGCCUCCCUGGAUUCUUGUGUUCAAACAUGUGAUCAAAUGGCGAUGGGACUAAAAAUGGUCUCUAAAAUGCGUCUGAAGGAACUCAACAAGGCAUUGAAACAAUUCAAGGAGAAAACCCCUAUCAAGACUCAUCCAAUCUCUUCGGUUGCAAAGAGGAAAGGGAAAGAGCCCAUGGUUGCUCCAUCCAAGAAAAGAAGAGCUCUAAUAAUUGAAGAUGAAGAGGAUGAGGAUGAUAUCACCAUUUUUGUGAUGGCAUUGAAGAACUUGAGUCGUUCUGUUUCAAAAUCGACGGAGAGACAUGAAAAAGACACGGAUGAGGCAGAAUAGAGGACUGGAGAGAAAGAAAAUUUGGUGAAAGAAGUAGAGGAGAGAGAUGCAGAGGAGGAAAGAAUUGAGGAAGAAGAAGAAGAUGAGAGAGGAGAUCAAGCGGAAGCAGAGCAUGAGGAACACUUUUCUCCACCUGAAGGCAUAAAAACAUGGGGAGAUCUUGAGAAAAGAGGAACGUCCUCAUUCCCUGCCACCAGUGAAGGAAUAAGUCGUUCUCCAGCAGAUCCAGAGGACAUCUAUGCCUCUCAAUUUCCUGAGGAGGGACAUGAUGUUUCAUCGCCCAAUUUGCGUGACCAUGAUGAUUUGCCAUCAUCUGCCUAUACUCUGUCUGAUCGUGCAGAAGCCAGUACUCAGACUGAUAAUUCAGUAUACUUUCGCAGAAUUCUUGAUGUUCCCUUGGAGAUGUGAGGUCAAAUAUAUGCUCUGAGAUGCAAAGUACAGAACUUGCAAAAUGCAGGUCAAACCUCUUUAGUUUCUUUGCACUAUCAAAUUCCUUCCCUUGCUCUUCAAGUUCAAGCAAAUGCCAAGGGUGAAGAUAUGGCACAACUGAAGGAGGAUUUGAAAAAGCUAGAAGGGAUUGUCCAGUUAAUGGGAGAUUUCCAACUUGUUCGUGUUCCCAAGCAAUCUUAAUUCCAUUCUCUUUUCAUCUCUACCUUUUUAAUGAUGACAAAAAGGGGGAGAAAUGUGGUACGUAUUUGAUUUUGAACUUUUGUGUCAAUUAUGUUUGAUUGAUUUGACUUUUGUGUUUAGCUGUUUGGAUUUGAACUGGAUUUGGAUUUGACCGUUUGAACAUUUGUUUAUCUUAAAUACUAUUGAUAUCUCAUGGCUUUGUUUAUUUACAAGACUAACCUACUUUCUGUGGAUGCAAAUUCUAGUGUUAUUUUUACUAAGCCAUUUAUCUUUGUGAGAUAUCCACAUUUGCUUGAGUAAUGUUUUGCAAGUCAAAGUUAUCCAAAUCUGCAGGAAAGUUUUGUCACCAUAAAAAAAGGGGAGAUUGUUGGAGAAAACUUCCUUGAAGUGUUUUGAAGUUGACAAAAUGUUUUCAUUAGUUUAGUUUGAAGACUUGCAGACUCUUCCAUCAAAGUCUGAAGACUCUGGAUUGCCAGACUCAAGACUCAAAAUCUAUCCUCAUUGACAACUUCUAGACCGUCGAAGAAGGUUUAUCCAGAACUGGAUGUUUCGUUAAGGAUUUGACUUUAUUGACUGGAGAAGAUCUCUUGGCUGGAUAUAGCAUGUCGGAAUCCAUUAUUCAAAUCAAGAUUGAUUCGGGGAUUUUGGAUUUGUUGAUUGGCGAAGUAUACUUGGAAGGUUCUACUUAUGGAAACCUAGAUCCUGAUUGUAUGGGCAAGCAUGAUUGAUGAGCUAUCAUCAUGUUCCUUAAAUAGCUCGAAGAUCUUCUUAAUUGAUUCUGUCCAACGAGUAGAUUAGAAGAAUUCCUUUGGUAAGUGCCAAUGGGUGUGAUGGCAUAAAGGAGUAUAUAAGGAAGAUGAUCCAGUUGUUCGAGUGUGUGCACGAUAGAAGAAUUCCAAAGUCUGAAGCUCCUUGUUCUUUGUCAAUUAAACCGUUGAGCGAAAUCUUAUAUGUAAAAGAGAGUCUAUAUCUUUGAGAGACCUUAAGGAAGUGUAGUACAGUCUCUACAUUGUGAAAUCAAGGAAGAGCUUUUCUCUAACAACUCUUUUGUUCAUAGUGAAAUCCAGCCAGUGGGCUAUCAGUGCUGAAGAGUGGACGUAGACUUGGAUUAAGCCGAACCACUAUAAUCUCUACGUUCAUAUUCUCUUCUCUACGCUCUUUUACUUAGAUCGUAACUUGUUUUGUUUACAAGAAAAGAAUUUCCUUUUCAUAAUCUAUUGUUGAUUAGUGCUGCACACUUAUCUCGUAAAGUUAUUUUUACACCUAUUCAUCCCCCUCUAGGUGCUCAUUCUAGCUCUUACAAAUCUCGCCACCCUUGAUCCCUCACCACGAGGAGAGAAAAGGGGGGAAAUGUCAAAUUUAGGAGUAUUUGAUCACGAGAGCAACCUCACGGCUUGUGUUCCAAAAGACAUCAUCACCUCGCCUUUCAAGUCAAACCUUUCGCAAGUUCCCUCCAUGAGAUCACGAGUUCUCCCAAACUCGUACCCCGCACGACAACAGAAUGUGGUGACCCAUACCCACACGGGCGACACAUCUCGAGAGAAGAGGUCGGAUGUGAAUAUCAGAUUUGAUGGUACCUUUACUAUGGUAGUUCUCUCAAUAGUACCAUUUAUCCAUAAGGAUGGCAUCACUUCAUCCUUUGGAGUACUGCCACAUCGAGUAUAUUAAACAAUGGUGAGUUUUAUCGAAACGGGUACCUUGCACGACGGGUUCAUUUAUACUGUUUAGUUGUUUAUGACAAUCUAAAAAUAAAACAAGAAUCACCACUAGUCUCAUUUCGGGGGUCGACUAGAAGAUCUAAUCGAGGGUCGAGAGUGUUCCCUCAUUCCUAUUCAACUAAAUAUCUAAAUUCAGGGACUUGGGUUACGCUGAUAUUUCUAUUAACGCCCUCUUGGUACUUCAACAGUAUGUUACAUUUACCUAACGUGUCCAUGUAAUUUUUUUUUUUUACAUUUUCGGGAUCGUUAAUCCAAAACUAAGCGAUCAUGUGUGGUUGGUCAUUUUCAUGCUAUUCUCUUUCUAAAGAACAAGAAAAGAAAACAAUAAAUGGAAUUGAAAUUGCGAGACAAUAAAUAAACAAUCAAAGAAAGCAGUAAAUCUACCAUGCAAUCCUAGAAUAUAUAAAAAAGAAACACAAUUGAAAAAAAAAAAAGGAAGAGAGAAAACCCGCAACUUGUCAUGCUUUAUACAACAAAUGGAACCUAAGACAUAUAUUGAGGAAAUGAAUAGUACAUGAUAAUGGUCGGGAUAGAUAUUGAUCUCCAUCGUCUUCGUGCUUUCUUCAUCUUUGGGAUCCUAAUCUAAACUUAAUCUGGAAACCAAUAACUAGGUACAUACAAUGGAAAGAAACAGUAUACACAUCAAAACAAUAAAAAAACAUGACAUCAUGUCAAGAUCAAUCAUUUAAAGAAAGUUCAAUGCCAAAAUCAUAUUUUGGGGCCUUGGGGUCGGCCUUUGUCUUUCAUAUGAGGGUUCCACUAAAACAUCUACUCAAUCCAUUUUUAUGACUUAUAGCUAUUAUUGAACAAUUGUGUUUUUACAUGACUAAUAACGCUGAUAAGUCUUCUAACCAAGCAAUCUAUGUGAUCCUAGGGUUUUCCCUCGAUAUCAUGUAUCGACCCUACCAUUCAUCUAAAAGUCACAUGCAUUGUAGAAAUUUAAACGUGAAUGUAGGUCUUUUGAACCUUAUUUCUCAACCAAUUAAACGGAUGAGUGAGUUGUCAGCGGAUCAUUUAUUACCAAAGUCAUACGCCAAUCAUAAACACAAACAAUUCUAAAUGUAUGACAUAAUUGUAUGCAUGGAGGGUACAUGUGAUGUUCAAAGACAUUUCUUGAAAUUAUUCACAAUUUUUUUUUGAGAUAAAGUGAUGUAUCAGUUAUGAAAGGCAUUCAAUUACCAAAGCUAGCUCGGAGCUCACAUAAAUGCACUUACAAGCGUUGUAUGCAUUUUGAAUAUAAUUCAAAUCAUGACUUUUACGAUGUCAAAUCAGGAUUUAAAAAGGUUUAAAAAUAUUUAGGAUUAAGGAAUAUAUAGGCUAUGAAACACAUUAAAUUGCCAAGAUUAGCCUAGGGCUCGCAUAAAUGUACUCACGAGCAUCGUAGGCAUUUUGAAUAAUGUUCAACUCACGAUUUUUCCUUAAGCCAAAUCAAGUUUGGAAAAGAAUUUUUAAACAAAUUAUUUUUGGGAAACUUCAUAUGUACCAAAGUAUUUUUUAAAUUUGAUUUAAGAAGACAAUUCAUCCAAAAAUCAUUUAACAAUGGAUAUUGAGGUAUUUAAAGCAUGGAAUGACCUAGGUUCAUGCACAAACUAACCUAAAAAGUUUAUCUAAAUAAUCACAAUCAUGUUCACAUCAAGAAAUUUUUUGACCAAGCAGAAUGUUACAGCAAAAUUGAAUAAUGUCCAUCAACAAUCUAGUUUUAACAAAAAUCACUGAUAUGUAGGACAUAAUAACGAACAACUUUUGUGAAGAAAAUUUUCCUAAACAAGCUAUACAUGAUUUUAAAAUAAAAUAAAAUCAGACAACAAGCAGCAACAUAUCAAAAAGUUGUCAAAACAACAGGACAUUUAGCCAAUAUCACAAGGAUUUGUCUUAUCAAAAAAAGUCUAAAAAUCAUCAAAUUUUCACACAACAUAGCCAAUAUGUUGACAAACAAGUUUGGCUAAAAGGCCAAGUGCAGAAUCGUAAUAGAAAAAAUGGAACAAAAAUAUCAAAGGUCUAUACAAACAGGGGUUAGAAUAAGAAUUUGAAUUUGAUCCAAUGUCUAGAUUUUGAUCUAGUUUUGAAAAAAUGGAAAGUGAUCCAAACGAUGAGCGAUUUACGUGAAAUUAGUGGCAUUGGAAACUUCUAAGUGUGCCUUAUGACUUCUUAGAAGGGCUCGAGUCUAAACUGAAAGGGCUAGUAAGAACACCUAGAGGAGGGGUGAAUAGGUGUUAAAAGAAAUUUUUUGCGGAAACGUUUAUCAAAACUUUUUCUUUCGAAGUGGAAUCUACAAAGUAAUAGACUAGAGCAAGUUUAAAUAAAUUUAUGAAUGAAUAAAAGAGUUCAGUGAAGAGAAUUAAAAACACAAAGAUUAUAGUGGUUCGGCUUAGAUCAAACCUCCGUCCACUCUCCUGCGCUAACAGCCCACUUACUGGAUUUUACCAUGAAUCAAAAGAGAUUUUACAACUUGUGAUCUUCGACUUUUUCAGUGAAGUGUUUCUCCUGGUUUCUCACAAAGUCUCACUAAGGGUUUCUCUCUUUUGUAUAUAGUUUUGAGUUCAAUGAUUGAGAAAGUAAAGAAUUAGAAAGCUUCAAAUUUUGAAAUUUGUCUUUCAUGCACUUCUUAGAACAACUUAGCAAGAUCACCUUAUAUACUCCUUCAUGCUAAAACGAUCGUUGGCACUUUCUAAAAGAGUUCUUCCAAUCUACCCGUUGGACAAAAUCAAUUAAGGAGAUCUCGAGUCGUUUUAGGAAUGUGAUGAAAGCUCAUCAAUCCUGCUUGCCCAUAUAAUUAAGAUCUUGGUUCCAUAAGUAAAACCUUCCAAGUUUGUUUGCCUUCAAAAAGAUCUUCAUAUUAGAAUUGAUUCAAAUAAGAAUAAUCAAUCAAGUAAUUGCUAUGUCCAGCCAUAAGGUCUUCCAAAAACCAUAUGAAUCAAAUCCUUGAAGGUAAUCUCGUAUCUGGAUAAGUCUUCAUUCUUCGGUCUAGAAAUUGUCAAUGAGGGCAGACUUUGAGAUUAAAGUCUGGCGGUCUUCAGACUAUAAUACUUAAGUCUGCAAGUCUUCAGACUAGAAUUUUGGAGAGUUUUGUCAGUUUCAAAACAAUAAAGGAGUUUUCUCUAACACAAACUAGGUCAAUUAAGUACUCUAAGAUCAAGAUCUCGAAAUAUGCGCAUGUUAGUAAUUGAAAAAAAAAACACAAACAUACAUCAAUAAAUCUCAAAACCAUUCAAGUAAUGCACAAAUGACAUGAAAAAAAAAAUCACAUGCGACAUAAAAUUAGAUGUGAUAAACAAUUAAGGUGAUUAUCUAACCCUAAAUCGGCAUAAGAAAAUGUCAUGCAAUUCGAUAACAAUACAAAUAGACUCAAGAUUCAGGAUGAAAUGCUUGAGAGUUUCUAGGUAAACAUGUGCUCUUACAGCACAUAUUAAUCAUGCAAAAUGACACUUAAAUGCAAUGAUGUGAACAUGUAUUCAAACCUUAUAACAUGAGAUUUAAGUGUCAAUAAGACAUUAUCAUAAAAUUUGGAUCUAAAUGACUCAAACAAACAUGGCAAGGUGCAUGUACAACAAGAUUUGUUUUCAGCAUUAGUCAUAGAACGUGCACGAUUUCAGAUAUCUCAAAAUGUGCAAAAAACUCUUACAAAAAAUCAUACACAUAGAACAUGCGAUGAUGAAUGUUUCUCAUUGAGAGUUCAAAACCUAAAUGUGAUCACAUGAAUCGCAGCAAAAAUGACAAAACAAAGAUGCACAUUUAGACUAUAUACCGAUGUAGCAUGUUUUAACCUUAACUCAUACAAUUUACUUAUUUACCAAGGUCAAAACUUUGCAAAGCAUGGAGGUAAGUAUACUAGAAGUGUCAAAAGUUGUGUACGAUGCUUACUUUGGUGCCAAAAGUUUAUGUCGAAUCACUUAAGUGCCAAAUUGGAGAAAAACGAUCAUUUUGGUGCCACCGCCGAGAGAUUGUGGCUAAAAUGAUUACAUGGCUUUUAUAUUUAAAAAAAUAAAAUCAAUAUGGCUUUUAAACAAUGUCGUAUUCCGUCCUCCUUAAGAAAAUAUCGUUGUCUUGCCGUCAUACGUGGAUGACCUCACAAAAAUGACGUUGCACAGCUCAUAUGGGAUUGAAAUUAGGAUUUUUUUUUGUUUGAUCCUCGCCCAACACCGACCUAGCUCGCUUGGCCACCAUCACUUGACUACUAUUGCUCGGCCACCAUUGCUCGGCCUCCAUCAUAGUUGCUUGACUAGGUGAGCGAGGAGAAGAUGAGGUUAUUUCUCGGGCAAGAAGUGACAUGAAGAAUAGGAGGCGAGAGCGGAGGAGGAGGAAGAAGGGGGGUUGAAGGUGGAGAGAGUGAAGACAAGGAGGGCAAGGGAAACAAUGAGGGCGUAGAUAGAGAUGGUGGAUUGGGUUCUACUCAGGGAGCGAUUGAAGUGGGUCCUUCUAAAGGGAGAAGGAGAAUGAGGAGGAGAGGAGGAGGAGGACAAAAGCUUGGGCUUGUUGACAAUGUCGGAUGAACCGGACGCGGAGUUGUGCUAGUGCUGGUGUCGGUGUUGGUGUUGGUGUCGCUGCUAGUGCUGGUGCUAGUGAGAUGUUCUUCGGGGAAGAAGACGAUGGGGAAGCCAAUGCCAUGCCUUCUCUCUCUCUCUCUCUCUCUCUCUCUCUCUCUCUCUCUCUCUCAAUUUCGGGAUUUAGGGUUUUGACUUGGGGGAAAAACACCAAACGGCGUCAUUUUGUUGUUUAGAUGUUGAUUGUACUCUCCGUCAAGCUACAUCGGCUUCAAAAAUUAAUAAAAAAGUACAACGUCGGAUUUUCGGUCGAUCAUAUCGGCGUUGGCACUAAAAUGAUCAUUUUUCAAAGUUUUUAGCAUUUAAGUGAUCCAAAAUAAUUUUUGAUAUCAAAUUGAGUGCCAUACAUAAUUUUUGGCACUUCUAAUGUACUUAUCCCCAAAACAUGCAUCAAUUGAAUAUAUAUAUAUAUAUAUAUAUAUAUAUAUAUAUAUAUAUUAAGUGCAUUUGUGGACUCAAUUUUAUCAAAAGAAAAUUCGGACUAAUGUAGGAUAAACUGUCCUAUGUUCAGAUCUAAAUAAUUUUGACAUAAUUAAACUCAUUCAAAAAUUGUGAAAAAAUCACAUGAUAUUUUUCACAUAAUUACGAGCAACUUUCAUGAAGAAAAGUUCUUUUAGAAAUCAAUACAAAAAUUAGUAAAAAAUGACAAAAUCAAAGAGCAAUACUGAACAGACUAACUUGGACUUGGAUCUGAUUAGAUUUGACCUAGUUAAGCACAUUCAAAAAUCAUAAAAAAAAAAAAAAAUUAUAGGAUGUUCUCCACACAAUUACAAGCAACUUUCAUGAAGAAAAUUUCUUCCAGAACUCAACAAAAAAAAAUGAUAGAAUCAGAGAUCAAUACGGAACAGAUUAACCUAGGCUUGGAUCUGAGUAGAUUUGACCUAGUUAAGCACAUCCAAAAAUCGUGAAAAAAUUAUAGGUUAUGCACAAAAUGAUUUGAAACAAAACUCAUGAGGUAAGAUUAUCCAAAAAUUAUCACAGAAGGCUACACAAAAAUAGUAAAGUCUUAUUUUGGAGCAAAAACAGAACUAAAAGUCCAACUGAACUACAGCAAAAUCGCUCAUUUUCGGAGAUAUUUUUUUAGGGUCAAACAACGCUCAAUUGGACCGUGCAACCUUUCGUUUCGAAGCUCGAGAUGUCUAUUAUCUAAUUUUAAAGGAUUCGAGUUGAAACGAGGUCGAUUCGAACCUCGUUUUGGUCAAAAUAGUAAAUUAAUUCUAAGGUUACGAAAUUGCAAAUUUAAGCAAAAUCAAGCACAAUCAUUCAAGUUCAAGCUUCAACAUUUCAUCAAAGAUUACAUGAGCAUAGCAUAUAUCCCUAAUAGUAAAUUCUAGCCUUGGUUGGCUAAUCCAACCUUGCUUCAUGGGAUUCGAGACCGAGAAAUUACAUUUUAUCACGAUUUAGUCGAUUUUGAUUGAAAUUGAUCGAAGUUUUCGCCAAAACCUCCAUCAGACCACCACAAACCGCAAAGGACUAGAUCCGGACAGCAAGGAACAACUUCAAAAGGUGGCUGAAUCACCUACAACAAAGGAAAAUAGAACCGGUCCAAGAGUUGAAUCGGUUUCGACGUGGCCAAAGUAGAUUGAUUCACUGGUGCUCUUCCGAUGACCAGCUGGUGAAGACCAAACCAUGAACAAGUGAUUGACAAGCCCGAGGAUAGAUCGGAGUAGGAACGCCGCCAGCAGGGGGCUUGAACUGGUGGUGAUGGUUUUGCCGAAGAAGGAUUUGGUCAAACCGGUAGGGAGAGAGAGAGAGAGAGAGAGAGAGAGAGAGAGAGAGAGAGAGAGAGAGAGAGAGAGAGAGAGAGAGAGAGAUUUUGGUGGGAAAUAACAGAAAAGAGAGAGAGAGAUUGAUGAGAGAGAGAAAUUUCGUGCAUAAAUGAAAUCCCCCCUAAAAUGGAAAAAAAAAAUCACUUAUAUACUCCCAAAUUAAGCGAUUUCGACUGUCAGUUCGAUUUGAUGGUCGAAAUUUUGAUCCAAUGGUCAAAAAUCGAUUUCGAAUGCUUCAUCAUGAUCUCGAGGUGACGAGUAAUUAAUCUAGUGGGUUUGAUUUGCAAAUACCCAAGCAAAAAUCGAGAAUUGCAUCAAAAUGUCCGAUUAUGGGUUAACUUCUAAUUAGAUAAAAUUCAAGGGUCAAUCUUUAAAUCAAGAAAUUGAAGUUGCAAAAGUGAAAUUGAUAUUGGGAGAAUCUUAGAAUCGAUUGCCGAAGGUUAGGAACAGCUGCAAAGGGGCUGAAUUAGCCAGCCCUGCUAGCGGUCGAUUAGAUCGAUUAGACUUGUUUAGUCUGGUUCGGCCAAUUUUUGAUUGGUUCUUGAUCAGUUUGGUUUGGUUCUCAUUAUUCAUUGACUUGGGGUCCUUAUGACUCCAAAAUUUAUGCAAUUUGCUCCCUAAAAUACCAAAUUGAAAAGGGAUUUUACCCCAUUUAAGAAGAAAUUGGUCAAUUAAGGUACAAUUAUGCUAAUCAAACCUUAUGAACAUGAUCUAGGGUUCUUUUAUUGACCUAAUUGAAUAAUUAUCGUGAAAAACAACGGGUCAACAUUAUGGGUGCUUUAAAUUGGGCCUAAAUGACUAAAAUGAUAAAAUUUGCAAUUCAAUUAGCAAAAUUAUAAAUUAACUAAAAUUGAACUCAAUUAGUGUCACAAUUGCCAUGUCUAAUGAACUACCCAUGUGUAAGAUCACUUAUCGCAUUCAAAUUGACCUUGAAUUGAAGCGCUCGGGCUUAGGUAAAAAAAUGGAUCUAAGCCUAAUAUUAAAAUUGGACCUAGAUUUAUGAAAUUAAACCAUAUCUAUGAAUGGGUCAAUUCGAAUUUUGAUGAUUGAUGCUUAACUGCUUGACUUUCUUAUGAUUGAGAGAAUAAAAUCCAUUAAAUUGAUAAGUUCUAGUGUGAAUUUUCCGAAAUUGAUUAUGAAUUUGGACUUAUCUUAAGAAAAUGAGCGAGAAACAAUUGUCUGUUUGCAAGUCAUGAAUAAUCGAUUUUGGUUCCCUAAUUAUGGCUCAAAACAGCAAUUCGCAUUUUGACUCGGCAAGUCAUGAAAUUGAACACACAAGCGGAUUUCAAAUAGUCCCUAAAACAAAUGUCAAAGAAUGAACUGUACCUAAUUAUGACUAGAAUAAAAGUUAUAUUAUUUUUAGUCGAUUUAGAACCUAAAACUGAAAAAAUUCAAAAAUCAAGAUUCUUAAUUGAAUUUGUGAAAUUUUCAACGCAAAAGUCAAAUUGACAUAAAAUGAAAUGUGUUGUGAAUUUUUUUUAUUUUUUCCAUUUUGUUUAUCAAAGAUUUGACCAAAAGGCAACCAUUUAGUUGACUUUUCCUAAAAGAUUGAUUUUUUGGUCAAAUCUUUGAAUUUUCAAGAAAUUAAUUUGACAAAAGUGAAAUUAAAGCUAAAUGAAAUCUUUUUAGGUAAAAAGUCAAUUUUUGACAUGGGAUUGAAUUUUUGUCAAAAGGUUGACUAAAAAGCCAACUCAAAAGUCAACCAUUUGACUUUUCGAUUUUUUUUUUCAUGAAAAUGAGUUAGAAAUUGCUUAAAAACAACAAUGCAAAAGAAAGAAAAGAAAAAACGACGCUUUUGGCUUAGAAAUUAGGCUCCAUCGCUAUCAGAAACCCAAAUCUUGACUUUUUACCUUUUAUCGACACGUUGACUAAAAAUUAAGUGUCAACAGCUUUGGGUUCAAGAUUUUCCCAAAUUGGAAUUGGUUAAAAAUUCCUCUUAAUCGAACCAUGAACACCCCUACCUGUAAGAAAGGGCAGUAUGGCCCCAUCCUAUGACUAGUGAGGGUUGCGCACAACCUUGACAUCCACCAGUAAGGGUUGUGCAACCCUCACUAGUGCUCGAUGUGGGGAAGACCGUGUGAAACAUUCUUAUACUUAUCCAUAGUAUGUGAGCCACGUUAUAUCAAUUAUUGAAAAGUAUGAAUUCUAGUGAGGACAGCUUUGACGUGAUAAUUGAGAUGGAGUUGGGUCACAUAUACCAUGUGCAUUCAAUAUUCACUUGGAUGGCCCAGGCUCGACUUGAAGUGGAAGUCUUAUAAGCGAAUUAUUGCUCAGGACUGAAAGGGUUAGUAACAACACUUAGAGGGGGGUGAAUAGGUGUUAUGAAUUUUUUUUUUUUUUUUUGCAAAGUUCAGUAGAAGUAUUUUCUUUUAGAAAAUGAUAUAUUUUGAACGAAUUCAGACUUUAGCAAUUAGAUGAAACUACAAACAAAAUAAAAUGAGUUCAUGGAAGAGAAUAAGAACAUAGAGUUUAUAGUGGUUCGGCUUUGAUCAAGCCUACGUCCACUCGCCCACGUCGACAGUCUACUAGCUAGAUUUCACUAAAGAUCAAAAGAGAUUUUUACAGCCUUGAUGAUCUUGACUUCACAAUAAAGAGUCUGCUACUCUUUCAUGAAGUCACACUAUAAGUCUUUCUCUCUUUUAAAUACAAAUUUUAGCUCAGUGAAUGAAAUAGCAAGGAACUAGAAAGCUUUAGACUUUGAAACUUUUCUUUCACACACUUAUUGAAUGACUAGAGACGUCUCCUUUAAAUACUCCUUCAUACCUUCUUGACCGUUGGCAUUUUCCAAAGAAAUUUCUCCAAUCAACUCGUUUGACAGAAUCAAUUAAGGAGAUCUCGAGCCGUUGAAAGCCCAUCAAUCAUGUUCGCCCAUACAAUCAGGAUUUUGGUUUCCAUAAGUAGAUUCUUUCCAAGUUUACUUGUCUUCCAAAAGAUUGGAAUAUCGAAAUUGAUUCCAUUAAAGAUACCCAAUCAUGCAGGUGCUAUAUCCAACCAGAAAGCCAUCCAUAAGCCAUACGAACCGAACCUUUGAAGAAAUAAAGAUGAUCUUGCGUCUGGAUAAGUCUUCAUUCUUUAGUGGCAUUCAGUUUGGAAUUUGUCAAUGUGGGCAGAUUUUGACACUAACGUUUGGCAGUCAUCAGACUUUGACAUUAAAGUCUGGAAGUCUUCAGACUAGACUUUGGAUAAAUUUUGUCAACUUCAAAACAUUAAAUGAGUUUUUUCCAACAAUGACAAAUGCAUGAACUAGCCAAACUAGGAAAGUCUAUAAGUGUGCUUGUUGUGAGCCACGAUUUUUGAAGGAGUUGACUCCACAAUAAUUUUUAAUUAUUUGUUAUUUAUUUUUAUGUGAUCCAAAACACGCUGUUAGUAUCACAGUAUAUUACAGCUAUAUAAGCAUUUCAUAUUUUCAUUUUAGAACUUGGAAACAAAACAAAAUGGGGAUAUCUUCUUUUUCCUAGGGACUCACGUAUCCGUUGUUUACCAACUCAAUCUAUUUGACAAAAUGCGAAUUAGAGAUAGUGUACUAUUUAAUCUGCAACACAGAUAGAAGACCAAAAGGCACAAAGCUUGACACAGCAAAAGGAAAAGAAGGAAUUGAAAAGAAUGACUGAAUACAAACCAACAAGCUCCCCGCAAGAAGGAACGCAGCUUUUUAUUAGCCAACUACGUGUUGGCCAAAUAACAUCUGCAAGGACCAGUAGUACAACAUAAAUGAAAGACUAGAAUCACAACCCCGAAGCAUCUCCCUAUGGAAACGAAGCCACGAUUGACAAUGCCACUGAAAAUCUUUUAUUUUUUUAGCUCGAGAAACACACUUUCACUGGCCAACCAGAUAUUGACCUCCCUAAAGUGCGAAUGGAACAUUUCUUUAUUCUUCAUUUUUUUAAAUAUUUUGUAUGUUUUUUCCUCCACCGUCAAACCAAACAUCUUCAAAGCUUACACAUAACACAUGCAAAUUAUUGAAUGCGUGUGUUAUUUGUACUGAAACUUCAACCCAGAAUCGUGCAACUUCUCGUCCAUUACUUGGUCAAUCCUGUCGGCCAUCUCAGCACUCAGAUAAUUCACCCAAUCUCCAACCUCCCCUCUCCUGAAGAACCACUUGUUCUCUUGUCCAGUCCACAGCUUUCCGCUCUUAUUCACCUCCAAUGAGCUCAAAUUGUUGAAACUACACAUCCUCAAUAUUCCAUCCACAGUCUCGUCUCUCAGUUCUUCAUCGCUGAAUGGACACCCCAAGAAAUCAGCCAACCUACGAGCAAAUAUUGGGUGGUCCGGGACCACCACGUCAGCGUGGUCCCGGACCACUCAUAUGGCGCCACAUAUGAGGGGAGGGUGAUAUUGCUAGUAUGAGUACCUAGAGGGGGGUGAAUAGGUAUAUAAAAGAUUUUUCUUCAACAAUUGCACAAUACUAGACAGUUGAAGGAAACGAUAAUCAAAGUAAGAUUGAGAGAAGAGAAAAUUGAACACGCGGUUUAUGGUGGUUCGGCUUAUAUCAAGCCUACGUCCACUCUUCUUCACUGACAGCCUAUUGGCUGGAUUCCACUAUGAACAAAAGAGAAGUUACAGCACAGCUUUGCCUUGAUUCCACAGUGUAGAUGUUCUACCACACCUCCUCAAGAUUUCUCACAAAUAUAGACUCUCUUUUGUAUACAAGUAUUCGCUCAAAGGAUUUGUCUAAACAAAAAGGAGCUUCAGACUUUGGAAUUCUUCUAUCGCGCACACCUUGAACAACUAAGACAAUCCUCCUUAUAUACUCCUUUAUGCCAUCAUACCCGUUGGCACUUACCAAAGGAAUUCCUCCAAUCUACCCGUUGGACGGAAUCAAUUAGGAAGAUUGUUCAAGCUAUUAAAGGAACGUGUUGAUAGCCAAUCAAUCCUGUUCGCCCAUACAAUCAGGAUCUCGGUUUCCAUAAGCAGAACCUUCCAAUAUUAUUUAGGCAAUCACCGGAUCUUCAAUUAUCGAGUCAAUCUUCGAUCAAUCAACCCGUUAUGUCUUUUCCAGCCACGAGAUCUUCUCCAGUUGAUAAGGUUAAAUCCUUAACGAAACAUCCAAAUCUGGAUAACCUUUCUUCAACGGAUUAGAGACUGUCAAUGAGGAUAGACUUUGAGUCUUGAGUCUGGCUGUCUGGAGGUCUUCAAACUUUAAAUAGCAGAGUCUGCAAGCCUUCAGACUAGACUGAUAGAAACGUUUUGUCAACUUCAAAACACUUCAAGAAGAUUUCUCCAACAAUCUCCCCAUUUUUGAUGGUGACAAAACUUUCCUGCAGAUUUGGAUAUCUUUGACCUGCAAAACAUUUCUCAAACACAUAUGCAUAUCUUAUAGAGAUAAAUGGCUAACAGGAUAACACUAGAAUCUGCAACCACAGAAAAUAGGUUAGUUCAGUAUAUGAUGAAGCCAUUCAUAAGAUAUCAAUAUUAGUUAAUAGAAGCAGUCAAGUCCAAGUCUAGUUCAGUUCUCAUCCAAACACAAAACAAAGUCAAACAGAGUUCAAACCACAAAACAAUCCAACAAACAAUUAAAAGUUUAAUGAAUGAAAAUUUUUUGAUCAAAUCUUGCAUCUCUCCCCCUUUUUGUCAUCAUUAAAAAGGAUGAGAUGAAGUCAAGAUUGCUUGGGAACGCGGACAAGCUGGAAAUCUUCCAUAGACUGAACGAUGCCUUCCAGCCUUUUAAAGUCUUCCUUUAGUUGUGCAAUCUCCUCACUCUUGGCAUUGGCCUGAUUCUGAACAGAGAGGGCUUGCAUUUUAUCAUUCAAUGAACAGGAAGAAGCUUGACCUUCAUUCUUCAAGCUUUGAACUUCGCAUCCAAAGGCAUAAAUUUGACCUCGCAUCUCCAAGAGAAUAUCCAUGAUUCUGUGAAAAUUUGCUCCAUUAUCAGUCUGAGUACUUGCUUCGGCUCGAUCUGAUGGAGUAAAUGCAGACGAUGGUAGAUCAGUAUAAUCUCGCAGGUUUGGCGAUGAAACUUCAUGACCUUCUUCUGGAAACUGAGAUGCAUAAACAUCAUUUGGGUCUGCUGGUGAGCGACUGACUCCUUCACUUGCAUCAGGACAUGAAGACUUCACUCCUUUCUCCUGAUCUCCCCCUGUUUCCAUGCCUACAGGUGGAGAAGAGUGUUCCUCAGGUUCUCCUUCUUCUCUUCUUUCUUCUUCUGGUCUUUCCUCCUCUGUUUCUUUUUCAGCUUCUAUUUCUUCUUCUUCCUUCUCCUCUGCUUCUUUCGUCAUUUGUUCCGAUUCUUUCUGUGGAACAGGACGACUUAAAUUCUUCAAAGCCAUUGCAGAGAUGGUGAUGUCUUCCUCAUCAUCUUCAUCCUCAACGAGGAGAGCUCUUCUUCUCUUGGAUGGAGCAACAAUGGGCUCCUUCCCUUUUCUUUUAGCUGCAGAAGAGAUUUGAUGAGAUUUGGCAGGAGUCUUCUCCUUGAAUUUCUCCAACUCCUUGCUCAGUUCCUUCAGACGCAUUUUGGUCACCAUUUUCAGUCCUACCACCAUAUGAUCGCAUGGUCGAACACAAAAGAUUUGCGGAGGCUGAAUAUUCAGAUGUCUGAAUAACUUCGUAACAAGGCUUGGGUAAGGGAGUCGACCUCUGUCCUUCAUCAUUGCUCUAUACAUGUGAAACAUCACAGUGUGAGGGAGAGAAAACAUUUUUCCAAAGAGAAUGGCAUACAUCAGCUUGGCCUCUGAACUUGAAACAUCAGUCUUGGAAGUUGAUUUCGGUCGGAGGCAAUUAAUCACAAUCUUGUGAAGCAAGAUGUUGAAUGCACCCAUCCUUAAGUAGGUGAUCUUUUCAUCUGUUCUCCUGUCCUUCACCAGUUCAAGUGUGGCCCGAGCAAUGGAAACUUUGAUUGGUUGAUAUCUUCCUCUUUCGACUUCUAACACAUCUGCCAGCAUAUUCAUAUCCACAACAUAGUCUUAGUCUUUAACGCUGAAAGAGAAUCUAUUCGCAUCUAAAAAGCUUAAAUUUGAAUAGAAAUAUGCAGUUAAUUCAGCAUAUGCCUCUGUAGAGUCAGAGCAGAACUUUUCAAGUUGAAGAUAACUGAACUUUUCCCUCAAGUUCAUAUUCACAGCAUCCAAAAAAUCAAAAUCCACACUCCUAGGGUUUAUUACCCCACGCUUCAGCAAUUUCGAGUACAGAUCCUUUUGCUCAUUCGAUUUGAAUAAAUCUCCCCUUUUUUCCUUGAUUUUCAACCGCAACACCCAUUUUUGGUUGAAAUUGACUGUAUAAUUUGUCAUCAUCAUUCCCAUCUACAGGAUUCGGCCCCCAAUCACGAGGAUCACUUGGGAUAUUCGCAAGGGUUUCUUCAGCCACCCCUUUACGAGCAAUUCCCAAACUUUCCAUUUUUCGCAGAAAAUAUAUUCGUUCCCAUGUCAUUUGUCUUUAAGAAAAUCAUCUAUGUAGUUCAAAGGAGUACGGAUUCCUUUUAAAGCACGAUAUAGCUGGUAAAUAUAAGCGGGCUUUUGAACUCUUACAGGGUCUGCAUCCUCGAUGAUUUCUUCCUGAUGUUGAUGAUUAACGCUUUGAGGACUAGAUGGAGGAGAAUGACGCUACUGAGAAUGUUGUGGGCUCGCUUGCUGUUCUAGAGUCACUUCUUCUUCAGUAAGAUCGAAGUGCGUAGGCCCCUCACUCAUUCGCCGUGGUCCCCUGCUUGCGAUUCUUGAAGACUUUCUUGAAGAUGACAUCUUUCUCAGUUUUUGGAAGAUUCCUUGCUUGACUUUCCCAGGAAAGAUGACAACUUUUUGAAGAUUAAACAAAGAAGACAAACGGGAAUGGAGGAUCGAUGCUUUCUAGGGUUUUCGAGAGUAAAGUGAAAAGGAAUCGACAGUGCUUGAUCGGUUAAAAAGAGGGAUAAACGAACCGUCACAAAGGAAAUAAAAAAAAUGCCUUUUCAAAAUAACUGUCUUUUUCCACAAAAAUAGCCAUUUCAAAAAUAACUUCCUUUUUGAAAAUGAAACGAUGCAAUAUUUACGUCAAUUAAAUAUAGCAACAAUUUAACACAGUCUGACGAUCGUACCUUUUCAAGAUGAGAUUUAAGGAGAGAAAGACUUACAGUCUGACGGUCGUACCAAGACUAUCUUUCAGAUAAAGUCUUGUAAGUCUGAGUCUGAAAGUCUUUAGACUUUGAUAUCCUCAUACCUCAAAAUGUUGAGUCUGGAACGUAUAGACUCAAAUUGAUUUUUCUCCAAAGGCUUUGUGAAUAUAUCCGCCAAUUGAUUCUUUGAGUCAACAAAUUGAAUUGAAACAUCUCCAUUUUGAACAUGGUCUCUAAUAAAGUGAUGUCGAAUCUCUAUAUGCUUUGCUCUUGAGUGGAGAAUUGGAUUUUUGGUGAGGUUGAUAGCGCUGGUGUUGUCGCAAUUAAUCUCCGUGCAUGAGUCUUCAAUUUCAAAGUCUCUUAGCUGCUAUUUUAUCCAUAGAAUUUGCGAACAGCAGCUUCCAAGGGCUACAUACUCUGCUUCUGUUGUUGAAAGGGACACAGUGCUUUGUUUCCUUGAAAACCAAGACACUGUCCUGCUUCCAAGCAACUGGCAGGUUCCCGAAGUGCUUUUUCUAUCAACUCUGCAACCGGCUAGAUCUGCGUCUGAAUAUCCCAGAAGAUUAAAGUCUCCCUUCUUAGGAUACCAAAGACCAAUGCUUGAUGAUGAAGUAACGUAUUUAAUGAUGCGUUUCGCAGCACUGAGAUGGGAUUCUCUAGGAUCUGAUUGAAACCUAGCACAGAUGCAAACACUCAACAGAAUGUCAGGUCUAGAAGCGGUAAGAUAAAGAAGUGAACCAAUGAUGCUCCUGUACAGCUUUUGAUCAACUUUCUUUCCUUCUUCAUCUUUGUCUAUCUUCAAAGAACUUGACAUUGGUAUGUCGGUCUUUUUGCACUUUUCCAGUCUAAACCUUUUGACAAGAUCAUUAACAUAUUUUUCUUGAUAAAUAAAAGUUCCUUCCUUCAAUUGUUUUACUUGAAGACCAAGAAAGAAUGUUAACUCUCCCAUCAUACUCAUUUCAAAUUCAUCCUGCAUAGACUUAGAAAAUUUCUUGCACAGAUUUUCAUUAGAGGAUCCGAAAAUAAUGUCAUCCACAUAUAUUUGAACAAGUAAGAAACUUUUGUUUUCCUUUUUGAUUAAUAAAGUCGUAUCUACUUUACCUUUGACAAAACCAUUUUGUAUUAAAAACUUACUUAAUCUGUCGUACCAAGCCCGAGGUGCUUGCUUUAAACCAUACAAAGCCUUUUUCAGUCUAAAGACUGAGUCUGGCUUCUUUGGGUCUUCAAACCCUGGUGGUUGUUCCACAUAAACUUCCUCAUGGAUAAAUCCAUUUAGGAAGGCACUUUUGACGUCCAUUUGGAAUAACCUGAAAUUCUUAUAACAAGCAAACGCAAGUAAUAGUCGAAUAGCUUCUAACCUUGCUACUGGAGCGUAAGUCUCAUCAUAGUCUAUUCCUUCUUCUUACGUAUAUCCCUUGGCCACGAGUCUUGCUUUGUUUUGUACGACUUUUCCUUUCUCAUUCAUCUUGUUUCUGAACACCCAUUUAGCUCCAAUAACAGUUUUACCUUUUGGUUUGGAUGUCAAUUCCCAGACAUCAUUAAUGCUGAACUGUCUGAGCUCUUCUUGCAUAGCUUCAAUCCAGCUUUCAUCAGAUAAAGCUUCUUCUAUGCUUUUUAGUUCAAUUUCAGAAACGAGAGCCACAGCACUAGACUAUUCUUGCCUUUUGGAUCUGGUGCGAAUUCCUUCAUUAAUUUCGCCGAUUAUAAGAUCUUUGGGAUGACUGGACUUAUGCUUCCAGUUACUUGUUGAUUUGUCUGGUUGAUGAUCUCUCUCUUUGUUUGGAUCUUCACGAACAUCCUGAUGCUGGUUUUCCAGAGUCUGAGAUGCUUCUUGAGUUGUAAGCUUUGGAAGGUCUGGAGCAGGUUCAGACUCUUCUUGAUGAGUCUGACUUGAUUCAUCUUGUGUUGAGUCUUGAAAUUUGACAUUCAUUGACUCCUCCACAGACUGGCUCUUCUUGUUAUAGACUCUGAAGGCUUUGCUUGAUAUAGAAUAUCCAAGGAAGAUACCUUCAUCUGAUCUUUCUUCAAACUUACCAACUCGAUCUUUUGCAUUUUUCAAUAUAAAACAUUUGCAACCGAAUAUAUGAAAGUAUGAAACAAUAGGCUUCUUAUCUUUGAACAACUCAUAAGGGGUUUUCUCUAGAAUAGGUCUUAAGAAGACUCUAUUGAUGAUAUAGCAUGCUGUUGAAACAGCUUCAGCCCAAAAUCGUGAAGAAAUCUUGCUUUCAAUUAAAAGAGUUCUAGCCAUUUCUUGAAGAGAUCUGUUCUUUCUUUCCACAACUCCAUUUUGCUGAGGAGUAUAUGGAGAGGAGAACACAUGAUUAAAUCCAUAUUCAUCACAAAAUUUUGUAAAAUCUUGAUUUUCAAAUUCACCUCCAUGAUCUGUUCUUAUACUAGAGAUGACACAUCCUUUUUCAUUUUGAACCUUUUUAGCAAAUUUUUCAAAAUACGAGAAGGUUUCGGACUUACUUGCAAGGAAAUAUACCCAAGUAAAACGGGAGUAAUCGUCCACAAUUACUAGUCAAUAUUUCUUACCUCCAAUACUCUGUGUUCUGGUUGGUCCGAAGAGAUCCAUAUGCAGCAACUGUAGUACAUGAUUAGUAGAGACAUGAUUUAUUGGCUUAAAUGAAUUUCUUACCUGCUUUCCCAGAAUACAUGGAGUGCAUGGAUCAGUCUUUUGAUAAGGUAAUUUGGGUAGUCCUCGAACAAGCUGCUUUGAUGAGAUUUUGGCUAAUUGCUUCAUGUUGACAUGACCAAGCUUUUUGUGCCAUAAGCUUGCUUCGUCUUGAAUUGAGAUAAAACAUUGUGAUUCAUUUGGUUUCACAUCCAGAAGAUAGAUGUUUCCAUGUCUACGACCCAUGAAAGACUGAGUAGAGUCUUUACUGAUUCCAUAACAUAUUCCUUCUUGAAAGAAGAUCUUGAAACCAGUAUCACACAAUUGACUAAUGCUGAGAAGAUUGUAAUUGAGUCCUUCCACUAAGGAAACAUUACUUAUUGUGAGAUUUCCAAUUUUCACAGUUCCAAGUCCCACAAUACUUCAUUUGCUGUUUCCUCCAAAUGAAACUUUUCCACCAUUUACUUGAGCAAGCUUUAUAAAACAAUUUGAGUCUCCUGUCAUGUGUCUUGAGCAUCCACUGUCAAGAUACCACUUUACCUUUUUCUUGACAGUGACCUGCAUUUAAAAAAGAGUUUCAAGCUUUCUUUGGUACCCAAACUUUCUUGGGUCCUUUGGUGUUAGUAACAUAAGCAGUAUUAGCCCAUAUUUUCUUAACAGGUUUCCAAACCAUAGGACACUCUUUUUCAAAGUGAUCCGGACUGUUGCAUUUUGAACAUCUUAGAGCAUUUCUACCUACAGAUUUUACAAAAACUUUCUUGAAGUGAUUUUUGUAAACCUCUCUCGAGAGUCUUUUCUUAAUUCUUUCUUUUACUUUAGGAAAAUCAAUCAAGGGAAUUGUUUUUUCUGACAUACUUAGACCGGACUUAUUGAAGUAAGGUCUUUGAGCUGAAAGAAUUUUCUGAAGUUUUUCAGACCCUAUUGAAAAUUUCUUUGAUAUAUUUGAUAAGUCUGUUUUUAAAAAAAACCUUUUUUUUUAAAAGAUUAUCUUCAUUUUCUUUAAGAUUGGAAACAGUCAAGUCUAGACUUUUAACUCUUUCUACUAAAACAUUUUCCUUUUGUUUUAGAGUUGAGUUUUCCUUUUUCAGUUCGGAAAUUCUUUUGAGAGAAGUCUUAAGACUGAAACAUAGUUCAUCAAUGUAUUUAGAAACUUUGACAGGAAUUUUAAAAUUACUUGCCUCAAAUUCACUGUCUGAGUCUGAUCCAGAGUCUGAGUCUGAUUGUGCCAUCAGACAUAGAUUGGCAUAUUCAUUAUCACUUUCUUUACACUCUGUAUCACUCCAGGUUUCGGCUUUGAGAGCUUUUCGAAAUUUUUCAGCUUUUCCUCUCUUCUUCUUCAGAAGAGGACAGUUGGGUCUGAUGUGUCCCUUUUUCUUACAUUCAAAGCAGACUACGUCUUUGUUUGGUUCCUCAUCAUCAACAGACUUGGUCUGCUGUCUUUGAAAGCUUUGUUUCUUUGAGUUGAACAUUCUUCCUUUUCUAUUUAGUUUUCUGAAUCUUCUUAUCAUGAGAGCAAGCUCCUCAUCAUCCAUAUCAUCUUCAGAAUCUGUAUCAUCAGAAUCGUCAUUUGAUUUUAAUGCAAUAGAUUUCUUACCUUUUGGAUCUUCAUCUUCAUUGAUCCGUUCAACUUCAUAAGACUGAAGAGUUCCAAUUAGCUCGUCGACAGAUAGUGGCAUAAUUCUUUGCGUCUCUCUUAUCGAAGUCUUUAUGUGAUUCCAAUCCCUGGAGAGUCCACGCAGUAGCUUGUUUACCUUCAUGGGAUCAGAAGUUGGUUGACCUUGAUUUUCAAGACCAUUCACAAUAUCUGUAAAACGACUAAACAUAUCAGAUAUAGAUUCUCCUGGUUUCAUUCUGAAGGCUUCGUAUUGACCGAGAAGAAUGUUGAUUCUUGUUUCCUUCACUCGAUCUGUUCCUUCAUAGGUGAUAUGCAAUCUGUCCCAAACUUCUUUUGCUGUACCACAAGAAGAUAUUCUAUUAUAUUCAGUUGGUGAUAAAGCACAAUAUAGGGAGUAAAUUGCUUUUGCAUCGAGUGCUUGUCUCUUGAUUAUUUCUUCCUGAGACAUUCUGCUGGUUUCAUCAGUUUCUUUUCCUCUUUCAGAGACUGAUGCAGUGGUAGGAGUAAUUCCUUUUUCUACAACGUCCCAUUCUAGAGGAUCCUUUGAUCGUAGGAAAGCUUUCAUCUUGUUCUUCCAGAUGUUGUAAUCCUUUCCAUCAAAGUAGGGUGGUCUGGUAUUGCUUUGCCCUUCCAUCAGCCCUGGUGCUAGCAUACUAGCCAUGGAUCUUUUACUAUGAAGUAAAACACUUCAAUUAAAGUAAGUACACAGGCUCUGAUACCAAUUGAUGUUGCUAGUAUGAGUACCUAGAGGGGGGGUGAAUAGGUAUAUAAAAGAUUUUUCUUCAACAAUUGCACAAUACUAGACAGUUGAAGGAAACGAUAAUCAAAGUAAGACUGAGAGAAGAGAAAAUUGAACACGCAGUUUAUAGUGGUUCGGCUUAUAUUAAGCCUACGUCCACUCUUCUUCACUGACAGCCUAUUUGCUGGAUUCCACUAUGAACAAAAGAGAAGUUACAGCACAGCUUUGCCUUGAUUCCACAGUGUAGAUGUUCUACCACACCUCCUCAAGAUUUCUCACAAAUAUAGACUCUCUUUUGUAUACAAGUAUUCGCUCAAAGGAUUUGUCUAAACAAAAAGGAGCUUCAGACUUUGGAAUUCUUCUAUCGCGCACACCUUGAACAACUAAGACAGUCCUCCUUAUAUACUCCUUUAUGCCAUCAUACCCGUUGGCACUUACCAAAGGAAUUCCUCCAAUCUACCCAUUGGACGGAAUCAAUUAGGAAGAUUGUUCAAGCUAUUAAAGGAACGUGUUGAUAGCCCAUUAAUCCUGUUCGCCCAUACAAUCAGGAUCUCGGUUUCCAUAAGCAGAACCUUCCAAUAUUAUUUAGGCAAUCACCGGAUCUUCAAUUAUCGAGUCAAUCUUCGAUCAAUCAAAGGACUCCGUUAUGUCUUUUCCAGCCACGAGAUCUUCUCCAGUUGAUAAGGUUAAAUCCUUAACGAAACAUCCAGUUCUGGAUAACCUUUCUUCAACGGAUUAGAGACUGUCAAUGAGGAUAGACUUUGAGUCUUGAGUCUGGCUGUCCGGAGGUCUUCAGACUUUAAAUAGCAGAGUCUGCAAGCCUUCAGACUAGACUGAUAGAAACGUUUUGUCAACUUCAAAACAUUUCAAGAAGAUUUCUCCAACAGAGGGGACAAAAGAGAGAAAGAGGAGAGAGAGCGUCAGAGAAGUGGGCCCCGGUUUUCGUCCUUUGUCUGCGCUCCCCAUACACGUGGCGCCAUGUGAGUGGUCCGGGACCACGCUGACGUGGCGGUCCCGGACCACCCAAUAUUUUUCCGCCAACCUACUCACAUGAACACGCGGGUCCUCUUUCAUCUCCUCGUACAUCAAGAAAAACACCUGCUCAGGCAUCUCCAAGCUCGCCUUGUGGAAACCCAGCACAUGGUCCCAGUAAGGCCCGUAGGGGCUCAGUCCUUGACAGAACUUGUCAAGGCACUUUGGGAGCGGAGUCUGGCCCUUCCCUUCGGGCCUCAGCUUGUUGACGAAGUGCCACAGCGAGAUGAACAUGUCCUUAGGGUUCCUACACAGGUAAACUAGCUUGCACCUGAAGUCCCUCACCGACCUUGGAAGUGAGGAAUAGGGCAAGUGGGUGGCGAAGAGCCUCGGGGACUCGAAAGCAGUGAGAUUGGGAUUUUCUUGCUCAAGAUAGAGCUUGAGCUCCAGGAAGGGCACAAGAUCGUGGGGGUUUUGGGUUAGGAGAGGGUGGCAUCGUUGUGAGUCGGAGUCAGAGUACUUGGCACGGUUCAAGAGAGCAAAGAGGAUGGCCUUUAGCCAGGUGGUGUCGGAUUUCAGUUUGGUGACGAGGAGGAUGUCAGAGGGUUGAGCUUGGAAGUGGUUUUGGCAAGCGAGGACGCCUUUGAAGAGCCAAG
rnacentral:lncRNA from 1 species